UUGAAAGCAGUUUUUAUCAUGUGGGCAUGAGCUAGCUUGCCCUGGAUCAAAGACUCAGAUUUUGCAUAAAAUUGAAUCAGUUUUGUAUAGGCUACGGAGUCCAAAGAGAAAAUUCGGAGACAUGGUUGAGAAAGUUGGGGUGAAACUGCUAAAGUUGAAGGGAAUGCAUUGAAAGAUGGUUUGGAUUGUGUGAAUGGAACUAGAAAAUUAGGCAAGACAAUGGUGUUUGAGAGGCAAUUCAGCUUUCCAGUCUUUGUUUUCUCUAAAAGUAUUUUUGGAAAUUUCAUGCAUAGAUAGUAAGAAGAGUUCUUUAUUCAUUCUUCAGCACGGAUUGAAGUUAACACCGGUGAAUGGAUGGUAAGCGUAGCAUAUUUGACAGAUUUGUUAUUUUUAAAGUUUUAACAUUUGAAUAGUUUGAUUUGUGUCUAAAUUACAGUGCCUUCAUGAAAAAUAUCAUUAGCUAUAGAAACAAUGGUUAAGUUAUCUUUUUAAAAUCAAUAUUUUAAUUCUUAAAUUUAAAUUUUAAUAAAUUUAUAAAUUUUUCUCUGAAAAAAUUAAUCAACAAAAUUUUAUUUUACAAAUCAAAGUAAUAAAUUAAAAUUUUCAAAUUUAAUUUUCACCAUUAAAUAAAAAAUAUAAUAAAUUAAGAUUUAAACUCAAUAAAUAUAAUAAAAAUAAAAAAAUAUUUUUUUCUUUAACAUAAUUAACAUAUUUGUUUCUAUUGAAUCUAAUACUUUAAUUCAUUGGGUUUAAUUUCAUUAAAAAAAAUUUUAAAAAAAGAAAAAUUUAAAUUUAAUUUUCAUAAAUAAAUAAAAAUUUUAAUAAAUUUAAAAUUUAAACUCAAUAAAUAUAAUAAAGAUUAAAAUAUAUAAAAUGUUCAUAUUUUAGGAAUAUUUUACUAAAAUUUCAGUAAAUUAUUAAUGUCGCGUUAAGUCAGUGGUGCCCUAUCAAAGGAAAGCUCCUGACUCCGCCACUGCAACCAACCGCAGUCAAACACUCACGAUUGACCAAUCCUUUAUAUUGGAAUGGGUGAAAAGUCAAAUGUUUUGGCAAUUCCUCUUAUCAAUUUUAAAUUAUGUUUGUAAAGAUCAAUUAACCGCAAUCGACGCCCACACCUAAUUCAAAAUAAUGUGGUUGUAAACCGUAAGGGUUACGGUGAAAAUUAUAAAAUAAAGAUAGAUUUUUAAAAUUUUUAACCUCCCAAAUAUAAAUUGUAAAGACGUGGUGGAGCCUUUAACCAUAACCAACAAAUCAACCAACUUGGAAAAAGUAACGGUGGAGCCUUUAACCAUAGCCAACAAAUCAACCAACUUGGAGACCACGCUCACAAAAAAUGAGGAAACAAAAUAAGCCCUCCAAUUAGUUAACAAGGGGAGAUCCAAGAGGAGUACUCUUGCGCAAACAAAAUGAGCAUAAAGUGGAAGUUGGUAAGAGUUGUACAGAAAUUCCAGAAAAAAAAAUAUCGAGAAUGAUGACUCCUCUUGGGCAAACAAAAUGAGCAUAAAGUGAAAGCUGGUAAGAGUUGUACAGAAGUUCCAGAAAAAAACAUCGAGGAUGGUGACUUUGGGAUUGGGAUGUCUUUCCUUUAUUAGCCGAACCAUUUAUUGGGAUGUGCAAGCUCUCAACCAUCGACAAGUAUGGAGAAAAGACUGAUCCUUGUAUGAACCACCUCACCAGUUUUAAAAACACCAUGAAGCAAAGAUGAGAAGGCACAGAACUGAGAUGAAUGCUCACUAGCUCAGCCGCUUCAGGGAAGGGAUGACAAGGCAGGGAGACUGACAGAUUUAAGUAAUGAAAAGGUGCAAAAUGUUAGAUACUUUUCGGCUGUGGCUGUUGUUGUAUAUUCAUUUUUAUCCACUCUUAUUUUAGCCUUUUUUUUUUAUUGAUAAAAAAUAGUUUUUUAUUAUUUCAUUUAAAUUUUAUUACAUAUAAUAAGCAAUUUUGAUGAUUUGAAUAUAAUUAUAUUUUAAUUUUAAUUUUUCAGCACGUACAGAGUUAGUAUUGUAGUAAUUACAUUUGAAUUUCUAUUAAAAAUUGAAUAGUAAUUUUUUUAUAUUAUAAAAAUUAAAUAAUAAUUUUUUUAUUAUUUUUAAUAGAAGGAAGAGAAAGGCCACAAGCAAACUAAAUCAUUACAUACGUGUGGCAUUUCUGAAAAUCAUCACUAAUUAUUUGUUUGUUUGUGGGUGAGUUUCACUAUUUUAAUAAUACAAUUAAAAAAUGCCACCUAAUAGUACAUCUUAUAUCGAUAGGAGCACUUUUUUUUAAUUUAAUUUUAAAAUUGAAUAAAAUUUCAUUAAAUUUUAAAAAUUAAGACAGUAAAGGUGAAAUCAAUUUUUAAAAAUUUGAAUAGCAGAAACUAUGAAAGAAAAGAAUAUUUAUAUUUAAAUUUUAUGUAAAUUUAUCAAUAAUUAAAUUGAUUGUAUAGCCCUUCCCUUGCAUACGUAGUAGCGUGCAUGUUAACUUUCAUGGUUGUAGGCACAUCUUAUAUUCAUAAUUAUGAAGAGGAACUCUGCCUUCACAAUUCUAAUAGCUAGUUGCCGAUGCCGUUAUUUUCAGAAUUUUUAAUAUAAGAUUUUAUAAAGCAAGUUUUUUUUUUUAAUAAUGUUUAAAUAUUUUUUAUUUUUUAUUGUGGAAAGGAAAAAAAAAAUAUUUUUUCCGUAUAUGAAUGUGAUGAUCUGAGAUCCAAUAGAAUAGGGUUUUACAAGGGUUUUGGUAUUGAAAAACAAACUUUUUCUUUCUGAGGAGGGGACUCCCCUUUUAUCCAUUUCGCUAUGCUUGCUGGUGACGUGUAAAGGCCUCUCCAUGAUUGGGACACGCGUCUCUGACAUAUAGAUUCGAGCGUACGAGGGUAUCAGCCGCCUGCUCCAUGCGUAACGGCCUCUGAUUCUCCCCGUGCGUACGCUCGAGCGGAUCUGCUAGGCUGUCUGAGUAUGGCUCUGGAUACUGGGCUGGGCCGAGAGUCGGGCCGGACGCUGAGCCUGAGAGGAGAGGGCCUGCUGGUCGCGGACUGGGCCGAUCUGAGUGAAGAAGCUUGGUUGAGCCCGGCCUUGAAGGUUGAAUGAGCCAGGCUUGUUGAGCAUAUCAGGUGCGUGGACCUCUACGUUAUGGGCCUUUGGUUGUGGUCAAGCCCCUGAUCCGGGGUAAAGAAAUCCAGCGGUCAUCAAUUGCCCCUUCACCUUCUCGGUAGUUAUUGCUCUCACUGCCGAGGGGAUGAAUAUCAAGAACCAUUAUGACCGCGCCUGUUCGUGUUCAGGUGCCUUAAUAACAUCCUUUCAUCUUUCUGUCGUUGUGCAGUUUCCGAAUCCUAUCUGCUCUUUCUCCCUUCUGGCUUUUCUCCAUUCUUCGUGUUCUUUGCUGUCUUUGCUUUCCUGUCAUCAUUAUCUGGACAUGUCCUUUCUUUCCUUUUCCAUGACUAUCUUUUAAAAUUCUGACACCGUUAGCUUAGAGUCUAGCAUAGCUCUGCUCCGUGCUAAGGCCUCAGGCUCCGGGUAUAUAUCAACGCUAACUUUUCUUCAUUCUCAAAUCCUCUGCUGGAAGAAGAGGUUCUUCCUUUCCGUUUCUCUGUCUGCUUCCUUCCUCCAACGAGAUUGUUCUGAUGGUUCUGUUUUAUCUGCAAAGGAUCCAUUUGACGCCUUCUUCAAACGGAAUGAGGUGAGCUUGAGUUUGUAUUGCUUUGUUGCCCCAGAGGUUUGUUUUAAUCUUGCUUUUAUCAUCUUGAUGGAGAAUUGUUUCUGACUUGUCUCUGUUUUGAAACUUUUUGCAGUACCUGAGAUAAGAAUGGGUCAGUUCAAAAUUCUUGAAAAUUUGAUGUUACCUCUAAGGAGUCUGGACGGUGCUUUGGAGAUCCUUCUGGUAGGGCGGCCGAUGGGUGGGACUAUUCGGCAAGCUGCUGAGACUGUUUUACCCAGGUCGUCUGGCCGGCCUCCUCCUCUGUUUGUUGUCCGGGCUCCAAAGAGGUUCUGGGCUGUUGGGGAGUUUGCUCUAACUUUGCCUUCCCUCAAGAAAGAAAUUUCUCCGAUGCCCCUGUUAUCUUCUUUUGAUAUAAAUGGAAGUGGCGAGAAAGAUCAGCUUAUUGUUUCCUUCAGUGUGGGGCGCUUACGUUAUGAGGGACUGAGAUCAGCUACGCUCAGUCAAGUCUCCAGCGAUUUCUUCGAAUGUAUGCUUUGUGAUCUCUUCGGUGCCGUAACUCGAAGACUUAUGUUUUUCAUGUGUGGUGCACGGCCGGCAUAUAAUAUCUGAGCUUGUCCGAAUGUACCGUGCAUCACACUUGGGUAACCGAACGUUUGCCUAGGGGAACAGUGAGAAAUGCUUAUGGGAAUCAACUUGUUCAGUUCCCCUAUAAUAACGAGACAAAGCUCAGCCGACCUGUAGAGCUCGCUUUCCGUACUAGGAUAGUCCCCGGAAUUAAGACUAAGAUAGUAGGGCAGAUGUCAGUGAUGUAAACGUAGAUGAUGAUGUAUGUGGUUAUGUAAAUCCUUUAAGGAUAGUCUUUCAUCCCGUAGUGUAGGCCUUUGUAACGUGCUGUAAUGUACUUUUCUUUUAAUGAAAUUCUUGUUUUCUACUCAUACUUGUUCUUUCUCUGUCAUGGAUGAAGUACUGAUACUACUUUUCUUCGUAGCUUUAGCCAACUAAAUUUUGUUUCAUUUUUUCCGAGCUGAACUGACCAUAUUUCGCGAACUCUUGCUUUUAGUCGAUGAGCCGAGCUUCGGGCCUACUUAACCAACUGGACGGUCGGUUUACUUUUCCGAACUUGACUAACCGACCCGUGAGCUCGGUCUUUACUUGAUGGAUUGAGUCUUUGAGCCUCCUUUAGCCGACUGAGCUCUCAAGUUAUGUUUUCCGAGCUGGACUAACCCGACCUGUGAGCUCGGUCUUUAAUCCUUGAGUUGAUUUCUGAGCUCUCAGCUCUGUAUGAUUCCGAGGUGCCCUUGUCGCCUCUUUCCGAUCUCGCAGCCUUUGUUCAAUAACGAUAAGGCAAAUCUUAUAACUUUUUAAACGAUGAGCAAGUCUGACCUUUAUCAUGCUCCCAUUUGCUUGUACUUUUGAGUCUUUUCAUGACUUGCCCCUCUGUUUCCUUGGUAUUUACCAUGGAGGUGGUGAAGUGGUGAAUUUUGCAGGUUGAGUUGUUCUUGCGGGCUAAGUUGCUCUGACUGGCGAGUUGGGCUUGUAUUAUGUAGGUGGCGAAUGGGCUUUUGAUUGUUGGGCUGUAAUCACGGAUCUGGCCCUUGACGGAUGUGGAGAAGCCCAGCGAUUAUCUUUUUGCCCCUUUACCUUCUCACCGAUUAUUUAUCUAACCGUUGAGAGGGUAAUCUUCGAGAGUAAUUAAUGAUCGCGCCGCUCCAAGACAAAAUUGUUCGGAUCAACGUUCCGUCUCAUUAUUGCCUUUCAUUUCGAAUUCCUUCUGUCUUCUGAAGAAACUAGCUCUUUUCUGCUCUCUGUCUUCCUGCAACUCCUUCUGCAUUUUUCACCCCAUUGUGUUCUCAGGUACGCUUCCUUGUUCUUCCAUAGCAAGUUCAAAGCUUCCCGAUACUGUUAACCUUGAGUCGCAUAUUACACCCUCCAACAUAACUAAGUAUAUUUCCCAGAGGUUUUUAGAUGCUCCGUUGUAUCUCAUUCGAGCACCUCUUUCAAAUGAAAGGAUAGUCCUUCCUUACCCUCCCCCUCCGGGUUUGGUGGAUCCCCAAGAGGGUCGUCGUAUAGUGUUUUUCUUGAAGCAGAGAGAAUUUGGUCUACCGUUUCCUUUUACCCCUUUCUUUAUUGAGGUCUUUGAAUACUUCGGGGUAACUCCUCGGAUGUUAUCCCCAAACUCCAUUUUGUUCAUGUCCUGUUUUGAGUCUAUCUGCCUGAGUUGGGGUUUUACACCCACGGCCUGUCUGUUUGUCACUUUUUUCCGUCUGGUUAGGGCGGUUCAAAAUUUCUAUUAUUUUUCCCCCCGUAGUGGGUUAUCUCUUUUCACGGGGUACAAGGACUCCAUAAAGGGAUGGGUGGAGAACUUCCUUGUGGCGGAGUUAAAAUUAGGGUUCGCCCGAACGUAGGAGGUGGAUCUAAGUUGGGGGGAGAUCUUUCCGGGUUGCAACGAGCUGCCCCAAUUGAGUCUUAUUGAGCAGGUCGGGCUGCUUCGACUGACUUCCGUUGAGAGGAAGUAUGACGUCGAGAAGUGUAUGUUCGCGUCCAAUCUUAGGGAUAUCCGGGACACGGGUAUAAUGCCUUGUCCGACUAUUCUGUUUCUUCUUUGCUCAUAAUAUCGGAAAGUAUGCUGAUUCUUUAUAAUUUCGUUUCUUUUGCAGCUUCUGAGGUAAAAAUGGAUGGAAUCAAGUUCCCCAAGAACUUUGUCCUGUCUCGGGAUAAUAUGCAUGCCAUUUUCGACGCCUUUGGGGAUGGGCGUUCAGUGACUGAGAUUGCUGCGGAGAUGGUUCAAGCUGCUUCCUCCAAGAAGGUUAGCCGACCUCCCGCCAAAGCUUCUUCUAGAGCUUCGAAGCCGAGCUCUCGCAGCACCAAGUCAUCUCGGCUGUCUAGCCGAGGUGGAUCGAGCUCAACUUCGAGGCCUGCUGAAGGGUCUAGAUCUGCUCCAGCCUCCUCAGAGGUCGUGAGGGAAGCCUCCCUAGCUAUUGGGGAGCAGACCCAAGGUGCUGAACAAGUGGAGCAGGGUAUUGCCCAUUCUCCUAGGGGUGUGCCAGGGGGAAAAUCUAAAUCCCCUGCUACUGAAGACAAGGAGGCCUCUGGGACAGGGAUGGAGAUCAUCCUCCUAGAUGACCAAAUCUCAGAGGUUUCUGCUCAAGAUGCCCCUGCCCCUGCAAGGACUGAGCCUGAGGGAUCUGAGGGCAUUUCAUCAAAGACCGGGGACAAGCGUCCAGCCCCCUCCGGAACAUCUGCCCCGUCUCCUGCUCGGAAGAAGUCCCGGACUGCUGCAGGACCUUCUCCAGCUCUUCCUCCCAUUGGGAAGGAGAAAGGUGUUUCUGCUAUGCCUUCGUUAUCUCUUACUGACAAUGUUCUGAACGCGUCAGGCAUUACCUCCGAGUCUCCAGCCAGUGCUGUUGUCGAACUUCUCCGAGAGCGAAUGUUCGGUGGAAUCACAGAGGCCUCGGAUCCACGCCUUCUUGCCCUGACUGGUCUCUUAGCCAGCUCUACCAAGGAGCAAGCAUCCUUCCGAUCUCGCUCUCGUGAGGAGCUCGGAUCCACGAUCAGGGAAAUGCUUCUGAUGGUAAAUUACUUUUUUCACUUCUUUUCAGUUUGCUUUGUUUCCUUUUCUUGACAGUUGUUCUUCCGUACUAGGUGACGGGCCUCUUUAUGGAGGUGGACGUCCGUGAUCGCUCCCUCCAGGAGUCUGUAGACCGCCGGAUUGAAGAGGCGCGUCUGGAGGAGAACUUAUCUGCAACCAAUGACGCGAGGGGUAAUCUGGUAGCCGCUCGGGAGCAGAUCCAGUCCCUCCAGGUGAAGUUGCAUUCUGCGCUAGAGGCCUUUAAAAAGGCUGAUGAGAAGGCGGCUGAGUCAGCAGAGCAUACCAAGUCUUUAGAAGCAGAGCUGUCUCAGGCUCGCAGGGUUCUCAAAGCGUCUGAUGAGAGGGCAGCUGCAGUGGAGGUUCGUUGUAAAGAAGUUUUGAAGCAGCUGUCCUCUAUGACGGAGGCCCUUAGCGAAAGGGAUGAGGCUGUGAGGCAAAAAGCUGAGGUCCAACAACAAUAUGAGGCCUUAAAGGCUGAUUUUGAAGAGCUUCAAGCUCAGCUGAAGGAAGUGAAGGCUCAGAAGGAAAUGGCCCUAGCUCGGGUGGAGGUCCUUGAGCAGGAAUUGAGUACGAGCUCUGAUCAUAUCAGAGACCUGGCUUCAUCGGCUGAAGAGCUCAAGCUUCGCCAUCAACAGCUCAACCAUGAAGUCAGGACCCUGGAAAGUAAGUGUUUAGCCCUACUUAAGGUAGUAAAACAUGGUGAGGACAAGGCUUUGCUAGUGCGCGAACAAUGUAUAGCGGAGUAUCAGGAGUCUGACGAGCUGAAAAGGAAGAUCGAGCAGGCCUGUGAGGCUCACCUUCAGGACUAUAAAGACUCUUCUAAGUUUAAGGAAUUUGUAGCUGAGGCCUGUGAAGCACAUCUCGAUGAAUAUAAGGCUUCUGGUGAAAUGAAAUCGGCUAUUCUUAAGAAAGCCUUCCGUAUGUAUGUGACCGGCUACAAUCGCGGUUUAAGAGAAGCCAGACACGCUCCUGAUACUCCUUUGGCCGAGCUUCGCAGGUACGAAGUGGACUCAGAUGGCGAGCCAGUGCUGUAUGGGGAGGAUGAUUUCCCUAUGCCCCGAGGAGAUUGCCGGAGGGACAUAUGCCGGUCAGCUGGGUCUGCCUCAGAGGGAUCCGAGCUAGAGAGGGAAGACGUGGGAGUCCUUGGGUCAGAGGAAGAUGACCCUGACUCUGAGAAGGAGGACCUCCACCUUGGGUCAGAGGUUGCCCCUGUUGUUAAUGUUGAGAGCUCUGAUCCAAGGGAUACCGAGCUUUCUUCAGAUGUGGCUGUAAAUAGAAAUAAUGUAGGCGAGGAUGUUCCUACUAAUGUAAAUCCUUUAAGGACUAUUUAUCCUCCCACCUCGCCAGAGAGAUAAAUUGUAACAGCUAUUUUAAUGAAAUAUCAGUUUUCUUAGACUGCUCUUAUUUUUCAUAUAUUUUGAAAUUUAUCUCGACUUUUCAUAUUUAUAAUGUACACUACGUGUUCUCAUUCAUAAGCUCCGAAUUGAUCUUAAGUUGCGAGCUCAUCUCUUAGCUAAUAGUCUUGAGAGAUCAAAUCUCAUACCUUUUAAUGGCGACUAGUAUGUCUGUUUUUUGCUUUUAGCCUUUCCUUCUUGGUUGUGAAUUUGUAUGUCUGUUCCCGAUAAACUGAUUUUGGAGUAUAGCCUUUUUCUCCUUCAUUUAUCCUCUUACAGGUUUCUUCGUUUAUGAGCCUUUUGAAAGAGGGAGCCCGACCUUUUGUUUUGGCCUUCAUACCUUGGGCUUUUGAGGAUGCAAGUCUAUCCAAGCUGGGAGCUCGGCAUUUUGCCCGAUAGCCAAACUUUUAGCGUUAGCGUCUGUUUUGAGGUCGGCGCUUCUUGGCUAUUGUGCCCCGAACCUCUUCAGGAGGUCUGAACCUGAUUUUGCCUUGGUAGCUCUGGGCUCCUCUCUUUUUUGUGAGGUCGGAACUGUAUUUUAUAAGUUGUCCCUGCAUAUGAUAUGGGAAAUUUUCAUUUUGGGAGGCUCUUAAGUCCUUCUCCGACCAUUUUUCAGAAGAUCUUUACGAGACCUUGGCUGUUUUUGUUCCGGGGUGACCUCGGGGUCCGCCGGCAGUUUUUUGUUUUGUUUUCCCGGGAGUUCUAGGGGAUCCCGGUCUUCAUGCUCCGGGGGGCAUCUUUAAGAUCCUCACCGGCCGUUCCGGGGUGACCUCGGGGCCCCGCCGGCAGUUUUUUUGUUUUGUUUUCCCGGGAGUUCUAGGGGAUCCCGGUCUUCAUGCUCCGGGAGGCAUCUUUAAGAUCCUCACCGGCCGUUCCGGGGUGACCUCGGGGCCCCACCGGCAGUUUUUUGUAUCUUCUUGAGGUGUUUGCACGAGAUUCAGGCUCAUUGGCCUUACUGUCGCUUCGUCAUCUCAGUUGGUUUUGUGCCUAACUGAGGUCUUGUUUCAAGGGAUCUUUCUGAGCCCUGUUCUAUCUUUUUCAUGGAGGAAUGUUAUUCAUAAAGGUAACUCACAUUGUAUAAACAAUUUUUAUUUACUCAUAUUUGUCAAAAUACAAUGUUUUUCUUUACAAAUAUUUCAAGGGAAAUACCUUUUUAGGUGCUGGAUGUUCCAAGCGUGGGGCUCGGGGUUUCCUUGCAUAUCUUCGAUUCGGUAUACCCCUGGCUUGACCACUUUUGUCACUUUGAAAGGACCUUCCCAGGUCGGUGCUAAUUUGCCCGCGGCCGCUCUUUUUCCUGUAGCUUCCAGGUUUCUUAAGGUCAGAUCUCCCACUUUUAAGCUUCUCUCUCUGACCUUUUGGUUGUAAUAUCUUGCUGCUCGUUGUUGAUAAGCGGCAGUUCGGACUUGGGCUUCUUCCCUGACUUCCUCAAGAGCAUCUAGGUUGCUUCUUAACUUAUCCUCAUUAGUAUUCUCACUAACGAAUUGGACUCGAUGAGUGGGGAUCUGCAAUUCAACUGGGACUACGGCUUCUGUGCCAUAAGCAAGUGCAAACGUUGUUUCUUUAGUGGGCGCUCUGGGAGUGGUUCGGAGUGCCCAUAGUAUGCUAUUGAGUUCUUCUGCCCAAUUCUCCUUUGCGCCAUCUAGCCGUUUCUUUAAUCCUUGAAGGAUAGCUCUGUUAGUGACUUCUGUUUGGCCAUUAGUCUGAGGGUGAGCCACGGAGGAGAACUUAUGCCAUAUGCCCAUGUUCGUCGUGAAGGCUCUAAAAGUGCUGCAGUCAAAUUGUCUGCCGUUGUCUGAGAUAAGUACUCUAGGUAUGCCAAAUCUGCAGACGAUAUGUCCCCAUACGAAAUCUAUCAUCUUGCGAGCUGUGAUUGUGGCUAUUGCUUCUGCCUCUGGCCAUUUCGAGAAGUAUUCCACAGCCACCACUACGAAUUUCCUUUGCCCCGUAGUCUUGGGGAAAGGUCCCAGGAUGUCGAUUCCCCAUUGUGAGAAAGGCCAUGGACUGGAUAUGCUCGCUUGAGGAGUGGCAGGGGUUCUGAUGGCGUUAGCAAAUCUCUGACAUACGUCGCACCUUCGGACAAACUCUUAUGCUUCUUUUUUAACAGUGGGCCAGUAGUACCCUUGCCUGAAUAUUUUGUUGGCUAAUGUCCCUGCUCCCUCGUGAGCCCCACAUAGGCCUCUAUGUAUUUCCUCCAUUACCUUUGCAGCUUCUUCCGGACUCACACACCGGAGCCAUGGGCUGGACUUCCCUUUUCUGUAUAAGGUUCCUCUUAUUGCUUGGUAGUUGGCAGCACGAGCUGCUAUCUUUUUGGCUUCAUCUUUAUCUUCGGGGAGCUCACCCUCCUCCAAGUAUCUCAGGUAUGGGGUCAUCCAAGUUGGGCUCUGUUCUACCUGCAGUACCGUGUUUGUCUUUUUAAAAGCAGGUGUACGGACGUGCUGUAUAUAUACUUCAUCUGGAAGCUGUUCUAACUCCUCUUUGGUCAAUCGACUAAGCAGGUCCGCUUCCUCAUUUUCAUCCCGAGGUAUUUUUUGAAAUCUGACGAUAACUCCCCGACCCGUGAGCUCGGCUUCUAUAGUUUUUACUUUAUCAAGAUAGUUCUGCAUGAUGGGGUCCCUAGCCUGAUAUACUCCCGUCACCUGGUUGAUCACCAACUGAGAGUCGCUGUUCACCUCGAGGUCGGUUACCCCUACCUCCGAAGCUACCAACAUUCCAUUUACCAGGGCUUCAUAUUCGGCCAUAUUGUUAGAAGCCGUAAAUUCUAGACGCAAGGCAUAACAUACUUUAAAACCUUCUGGCCCCUUAAGCAUUAUCCCAGCGCCACUACCCUCAGCACCUGAUGCUCCAUCUACAUAUAGCUUCCAGCUAAAUUCUUGGGAGGGCUCUCUUUCUCCCCCCUUUCUUGAUAUCUCCGAGGAUGAUCCUCCCUUCUCCUUAUUGAAUGCGCACUCCGCUAUGAAGUCAGCCAGAGUUUGGGAUUUUAUGGCUGUUCGAGGUCGGUACUCUAGACAGUAAGGGCUAAUUUCUACGGACCAUGCCAACAUCCGCCCUGAAGUUUCCGGCCUACGUAGGAUCUUCUUUAAGGGUUGGUCUGUCAUCACGACUCCUUGGUGGCCUUCCAGAUACACUCUGAAUUUCCGGACUGCUAGCAAUAAGGCGUAAGCCAAUUUUUCAAUGUUCGAAUAUCUGACCUCAGUGUCUCUGAGUACCUUGCUAACGUAGAAAACAGGUUUCUGUUCUCCUUCUUCCACCCUUACUAGUACUGCACUGACUGCUUGUUCUGAGGCCGCCACAUAUAUCAGAAGUUCUUCUCCUUCUAUGGGACUGCUGAGCACAUGAGGCGAGCUAAGAUACUUCUUAAGCUCUAUGAAGGCCUUUUGGCAAUCUUCUGUCCAUUCGAAAUUCGGUACCUUCCUCAACUUUUUGAAGAAUGGCAAGCACUUUUCUGCCGACCUCGACAUGAAUCGGUUAAGCGCUACUACUCUCCCGGUUAGUCUCUGAACAUCUCUUACACAGGUCGGUUCUGGCAUAUUCAGUAUGGCUUCCACUUUCUCCGGAUUAGGCUCAAUGCCUUUACCGCUCACCAUGUACCCCAAGAAUUUUCCUCCCCUAAUGAAGAAGGCACAUUUUGCUGGGUUCAACUUCAUUCUGUAUUGAUUUAACACCCCAAAUAUCUCCCUCAAAUCUGCUAUGUGUUGUUGGAAAGUUGAACUUUUGACCACCAUAUCGUCCACAUACACUUCCACAUUUCUACCGAUAUGGUUUUUAAAGAUUUUAUUCAUCAACCUCUGAUAAGUUGCCCCAGCAUUUCUCAAUCCAAAGGGCAUAGCCCUAUAACAGUAAGUUCCGUCUUCAGUGAUAAAUGAGGUCUUCUCCUCAUCCGACCUUUCCAUUGGGAUUUGAUGAUAACCAGACAUAGCAUCCAAAGAAGACAUAUAAUCAAAACCGGCCGUUGAGUCGACCAUUUUAUUAAUAUCAGGAAGGGGGUAACAAUCUUUAGGGCAGGCCUUAUUUAGGUCGGUAAAAUCUAUACACAUCCUGUAUUUGCCAUUGGCUUUUUUGACUAACACAGGAUUUGCCAACCACUGUGGGUACAUGACUUCCCUAAUAAAGCCUGCCUCUUCUAGCUUCUGCACUUCUUCCCGAGUGGCCUGCUGCUUCUCUUUUCCCACUACUCUCUUCUUUUGCUUUACUGGUCUGGCCUCGGGGAGGACAUUUAAUCGGUGUGUCAUCACUUUGGGGUCAAUUCCCGGCAUGUCUGAAGGCUUCCAUGCCAAGGUCGGCGCGUGACUUCUGAUCAGGGUCAUGACUUCACCUUUUUGUUCUUUGGUGAGGCUGGCAUUAAGACUGAAGACCUUGUUUGCAUCUGCUUCUGAUAAGGGGAAGGUUUCCAACUCUCCAAUUGGCUCUGUCCGGGCUUCUUUUGUUUCAUCUCUGACCUCCAGAACCUCCGAGUCGAGUGCUUCUCCAGUUGAGCUCGGCUCUGUUACUGUGGCCAAGUAUACUGCUCUUGCUUCUUCCUGGCUACCCCGGACCAUUCCCACUCCUUCCUCCGUUGGGAACUUGAGUGCUAAAUACCUGAUGCUGGUGACAGCUUCAAAGUUGAACAGCGCAGGCCUCCCCAAAAUCGCAUUGUAGCUUAAUGGGAGCUUGACCACCAAAAAUACCUCAUGAUGGGUGCGAACUCUAGGUGCUUCUCCCAAGGUGAGAGCCAGCUUCACCUUUCCUUCUACGAGCACCGGUGCUCCUCCGAUCCCCUUGAUUGGUGACUGGUCCCGAACCAACUGUUCUUCUGGGAUUCUCAUCUGCUGGAAAACCCGAUAUGGCAGUGUAACAGCCCGCUUACCGGACCAUCACCGGCACUAGGAUCCAGAGCGGCUUAAGGCCGCCGGGACCCGUAGUAAGCCUACUGUCAACUCUGUGUACCUGAUACAUCCCAUACAUGAUCAUACUUAAGCUUAAAACUGUUACUUACUCUUUUUCUUUUUUGUUUUUUUUUUGUUCUUUCUUUGCUUUUCUAACUUUUCUUUUCUUGAAACCUUUCUCAGCAACUAAGCCUGGACUAUGCAUGCUCUGUCUGUAUGCACUCGAAGAGUGAUACCUGCUAUGGUACCAUACAGUAACUACAGAGAUAGAAAGACUACCAUGCACCAAGCCUAGCGCAUCAUAACAACAUUAUCUCAAUCAGAUAUAACAUAAAAGGAUCAUGUGCAAAGGGAUAACAAGCACUAGGGCCAAACACACUUCUAUAACUCCCUAUAUCACUUACUAUUACAUCAUUUCUAUACAUUACAUAAACUCUGUACUGUACAUCAUUAUCAUGUCCACUAUUCUAUACUAUUACAUAUGUCUUUACCCUUGCUUUCUCUUUCUCUUUCUCUUCUCUGAGGCCCUGAAAAAUGGGGUUAGGGAGAGGGAUGAGCUGCUAAAGCCCAGUGAGCGGAAUCUAUAAAAAUCACAUUUAAAACAUGCUAUCAUAUGAUGCAUCACUGCACAAACAUUUCACAUCUCGGAUUGGACAUGAUUCCAAAACUCCCUCUGUCAGUGCCCGGGCCCCAAAGGAGCUCACACAGGUCUUUCACUAACUACUCAUGGUGCCCGACCCUAUAAGGGCUCUCACAGGACUCAUCCAAGGUAAAUGCCCGGCCCCAAAGGAGCUCACACAGGACAUACAAUAAUGACAGACUUAUGGGCUAUUGAGAUCGCCUCGGUCCAAUCCACAUAUACAAGUAAUAAUGCAAUGCAGCAACUUGGUGAAUACUAAUGCAAAGCAUCCUACAUAAACAUGGCAUUAAUGAUGCAUGAAUCAUGCUAAAACAGUUCUGAACUUUUAAAAUAAGGUUCUGUUCCACUCACCUCUGUCAACUGCUGCGCAGUCUCUGUAACUCUAACUCUGUGGGCCUCCUUGGUCUCUCGGGUCCGCACCUACACAGGUGGACUCAAAUGAGGACCAAACUUACUUAAACAUAACUCUUAAUAUCUCCCCUAAACCCCUUUAAAACAUAAUAGGUAUGCAUGGAACAAUGGGCAAAAGAAGGUUGGACAGAGCACCUUCAGCGGCACUUUCGGCGGCCGAAACCCCUCUCCAGAGACGAAACUCAUGCAUGUUCGGCGGCACCUUCGGCGGCCGAAAGUCUCGUCCAGAGACGAAACUCAUGCACUUUCGGCGGCCGAACGCCCUCUUUCGGCGGCCGAAAGUCCCUUUCUCACACAAAAGCCUAGCUUUCGGGGGCAAGGUUUGGCAGCCGAAACUGCCUCCACAAGGGGUUCGACGGCCGAACCUUGCUUCGGCGGCCGAACCUGGAUUCUCCAGAAAGGCAGAAUCCAAGCACAACUCAUGCUCUCAGCCUCCAAAAACCUAUCAAACACCCAUAACAUGCAUACCAACACUUCUCAACUAACACAUAACAUAUCUCAUGCAUAGAGAGGCCUAAAAACUAGUUCAAGCCCCAAAAACAACAACAAAACUCAUAUGAGCAACAUAUGCUCAACUCAUGCUUAUACCCCAAAACAUGCCAUAAACCUCUCCAAAACUUCUAAAACUUGCCUUAAACAUAAGGGGAGGUGAGGAUCCAUGCUUACCUCUUGAAGAACUAGAGGAUUGAUGAUCCAAGCUUGGAGAUAGGAGAAAACUCAAUCAAACUCUCCAAGUGCUCAACUUUGCUUCCUUUUGCUCAAAUCUCUAAAACAAAGCUCAAAUCAAGUUAAAACAUGCAAGAUUUGAGGAAAACAUGAGAAAUCACACCAAGGAGAGCUUGAACCUACCUUUGACCCAAAAACAGAGUGUUUAACACUCAAGUCUCGGGCAAAGGGGCUUUUGUAGUGGCCAACCGACUCUUCCUUCGGCGGCCUAACGUGCAUGCGAAACCAUGCAACUUUCGGCGGCCGAACUUCACCUUCGACGGCCGAACCUGGCUUUUGUCCCCUUGGCCUUUUCAUUUCAAAACUCAAUUUUCUUAACUCAAAACAUGCAAACAUGAUAAAAACACUUAACAAAAACAUCUUAAAAACCUUUCUUAUACCCUUAGGGCAAGCUCCGACAUCCUCGAAUCCCGACUUCCAACGGAAAAUCCGCCGGAACGUAGGAAUUCCGACACCGGGGUCUAGCCGGGUAUUACAGGCAGCAAGUUGACCUUACUCCCGUCAUCUACCAGAACCUUCUUUACUCGAAAAUUGUUAAUGACAGCCUCAAUGACGAGUGCAUCAUCAUGGGGCAUCUGAAUGCCUUGUGCAUCUUCCGGAGAGAAAGCGAUAGUCAUGGGAGAGUGCUCAACGAUCUGCAUGACUUCACCAUUACUGGUCUCCCCUUCCCGGUUUCUCUUCUUUCCUCGACGGCUCAUCCGUCCUCCCGUUCCUCCUACAAUCAUAUUGAUGGUUCCACUGGACCCAUCAUUCACUGGUCCAGCUCCUGUUUUCCUAGGUGUCUGAGUUGCCGGACCUGGCUGAAGCCUCUGCCCUCCGACCUCUUCACGAAAUUCUUGAGGUGCCCUCUUUUUAUCAACCUUUCAAUCUCCGCAAUCAACUGGAAACAGUUAUUUGUAUCGUGACCAUGCGUCCGGUGGUACUGACAAUACUUGUCAGGGUUCCUUUGAUCUGCCUCCGACUUCAUGGGUUUUAGCCAUUGGAGAAACUCCUUAUCCUAGACUGCCAUGAGCACUUCGGCUCUGGAGGCGUUGAGGGGAGUUGGCUUCUCAGGGACCCAGGGAGGGAGCACUCUUGGUUCAAGAGCCCGAGGAGGAGGAGGAGGCCUUUGAUCCCUUCUCUCCCAGGCCUGUUUGUACGGCUCAGGUCUCUUUCCAUGUUUCUUCUCGUGUCUCUCCGGUCUCCUCUCCUCCGGGGCUUUCUCUUUUCCUGCCAUCCCUUUAGCAAAUCUACUCGUCACUAAGGCGUCAUCCUGCCUUAUAUACUUCUCCGCCCUCUUCAUCAACUCAGCCAGUGAGGUAGGAGGUUUCCUGCUCAAAGAACCAAAGAACUCGGCAGAGGUUGUUCCCUUUUGCAUGGCCUCCACCGCCCUUCCUUCAUCCAGCUCGGGAAUCUGCAGGGCCUCCAUAUUGAAGCGGGCGACAUACUCUCUGAGUGAUUCACCUUCUUUCUGUUUCACUAUUUCUAGAUAGCUCGUCUUCCUAUCUGCUGGCACCCCGGCUAUGAACCGGCUGAUGAAGCGGGUGGCCAGAUCUCCAAAACUUUUAAUGCUUCCGGCCUCCAGGCUGUUGAACCACACCCGCGCUGGUCCCGAGAGCGUUGUUGGGAACACCUUACACAUUAAGGCAUCUGACAGGGUUUGCAACUCCAUGAAGGUCUUAUAGUUCAUGACAUGCUCUCUCGGGUUACCAGCUCCAUUAUAGGCCGCCAUCGGCGGCAUCAUAAACUUCUUGGGAACGGUCUCCUGCUGCACUAUCUUUGAGAAGGGAGAAGAAGUGGGCAAGGAGGUUUAGCUCUGAUCUUUCUUACCUAGCUCGGCUAAGAGCUGCUCUUUCAACCUUUUCAGCUUUUGGUUCAUUUUCUCGUCUUCCGGGCUGGAUCCUUUGCCCCAGCUGUAUUCCUCCUCCUCUGUUUCAGUUCCCGUUUCCCUGGUUGUUCCGGCAGAAUAGUUGUCCGCCUCCUCAUUUUCUAUCAACUCUCUUGCCCUCCUCCCAUGGAUUCGGGCCUCCGGUUCUUCCUCUUCCCCGGUGUAACGACCCGAAAAUCCGACCCGUUACCGGCGCUAGGAUCCAGAUCGGCUUAAGGCCGCCGGGACCCGUAGCAAGCCUACAUACCUCCUGUAAACCUGUGGAAUCCCAUACAUAACAACAUAUACAUGAUCUGUAAAAAUUUUUCUUUUCUCUUAUCCAAGCAAAACCUGUGCAUGCACANNNNNNNNNNNNNNNNNNNNNNNNNNNNNNNNNNNNNNNNNNNNNNNNNNNNNNNNNNNNNNNNNNNNNNNNNNNNNNNNNNNNNNNNNNNNNNNNNNNNNNNNNNNNNNNNNNNNNNNNNNNNNNNNNNNNNNNNNNNNNNNNNNNNNNNNNNNNNNNNNNNNNNNNNNNNNNNNNNNNNNNNNNNNNNNNNNNNNNNNNNNNNNNNNNNNNNNNNNNNNNNNNNNNNNNNNNNNNNNNNNNNNNNNNNNNNNNNNNNNNNNNNNNNNNNNNNNNNNNNNNNNNNNNNNNNNNNNNNNNNNNNNNNNNNNNNNNNNNNNNNNNNNNNNNNNNNNNNNNNNNNNNNNNNNNNNNNNNNNNNNNNNNNNNNNNNNNNNNNNNNNNNNNNNNNNNNNNNNNNNNNNNNNNNNNNNNNNNNNNNNNNNNNNNNNNNNNNNNNNNNNNNNNNNNNNNNNNNNNNNNNNNNNNNNNNNNNNNNNNNNNNNNNNNNNNNNNNNNNNNNNNNNNNNNNNNNNNNNNNNNNNNNNNNNNNNNNNNNNNNNNNNNNNNNNNNNNNNNNNNNNNNNNNNNNNNNNNNNNNNNNNNNNNNNNNNNNNNNNNNNNNNNNNNNNNNNNNNNNNNNNNNNNNNNNNNNNNNNNNNNNNNNNNNNNNNNNNNNNNNNNNNNNNNNNNNNNNNNNNNNNNNNNNNNNNNNNNNNNNNNNNNNNNNNNNNNNNNNNNNNNNNNNNNNNNNNNNNNNNNNNNNNNNNNNNNNNNNNNNNNNNNNNNNNNNNNNNNNNNNNNNNNNNNNNNNNNNNNNNNNNNNNNNNNNNNNNNNNNNNNNNNNNNNNNNNNNNNNNNNNNNNNNNNNNNNNNNNNNNNNNNNNNNNNNNNNNNNNNNNNNNNNNNNNNNNNNNNNNNNNNNNNNNNNNNNNNNNNNNNNNNNNNNNNNNNNNNNNNNNNNNNNNNNNNNNNNNNNNNNNNNNNNNNNNNNNNNNNNNNNNNNNNNNNNNNNNNNNNNNNNNNNNNNNNNNNNNNNNNNNNNNNNNNNNNNNNNNNNNNNNNNNNNNNNNNNNNNNNNNNNNNNNNNNNNNNNNNNNNNNNNNNNNNNNNNNNNNNNNNNNNNNNNNNNNNNNNNNNNNNNNNNNNNNNNNNNNNNNNNNNNNNNNNNNNNNNNNNNNNNNNNNNNNNNNNNNNNNNNNNNNNNNNNNNNNNNNNNNNNNNNNNNNNNNNNNNNNNNNNNNNNNNNNNNNNNNNNNNNNNNNNNNNNNNNNNNNNNNNNNNNNNNNNNNNNNNNNNNNNNNNNNNNNNNNNNNNNNNNNNNNNNNNNNNNNNNNNNNNNNNNNNNNNNNNNNNNNNNNNNNNNNNNNNNNNNNNNNNNNNNNNNNNNNNNNNNNNNNNNNNNNNNNNNNNNNNNNNNNNNNNNNNNNNNNNNNNNNNNNNNNNNNNNNNNNNNNNNNNNNNNNNNNNNNNNNNNNNNNNNNNNNNNNNNNNNNNNNNNNNNNNNNNNNNNNNNNNNNNNNNNNNNNNNNNNNNNNNNNNNNNNNNNNNNNNNNNNNNNNNNNNNNNNNNNNNNNNNNNNNNNNNNNNNNNNNNNNNNNNNNNNNNNNNNNNNNNNNNNNNNNNNNNNNNNNNNNNNNNNNNNNNNNNNNNNNNNNNNNNNNNNNNNNNNNNNNNNNNNNNNNNNNNNNNNNNNNNNNNNNNNNNNNNNNNNNNNNNNNNNNNNNNNNNNNNNNNNNNNNNNNNNNNNGCCGAAUGUGCCUCCGCAUGCAUGCCAUGUUCGGCGGCCGAACAUGAGGUUCGGCGGCCGAACCUGGACUUCCCUCACUCAUGCUUUCGGGCGCCUAAAGUCCCUCCGAAAGCAUGCAUGUUCGGCGGCCGAUCUUUGGAGUUCGGCGGCCGAACCUGGGUUUUCCUCCAAGGAUUUUUCAUGCUAAAACUCAUUUAAUUUCUUACUUAAAAACAUGAAAUACAUGAAUACAUUUCAUAAAAUCAUAGUUUUACCCUUCUAGAGGUUUCCGACAUCCGAGGUCCCACCGGACGGUAGGGAUUCCGAUACCGGAGUCUAGCCGGGUAUUACACCCGGCAUCGUGGCUGUUAGUUUGGAGGCGGUCAGAGGUAGGUCGGGGUUCAUUGGUUCUGGGUUCCUCCACUACUAGGAGUGCAUUUACUGGAGUGCUAAGGCCCCUCUGUUGCAUUAUCUGCCCUAACCAGUGAGUAGUAGUCUGUAGCUGGAGAGCCAUGGUUUGAAUGUCUUGGUUAGACAGAGUCACGGUGGGAGUAUUCCCUGCCAAGCUUGGCGAGGGAUUAAGAGGGAUAGGCGUUUGGUUAUUCAACGUUGUAGGGCUAGAAAAGGAGAACUGUUGCCCAUCUUGGGCAGAGCUCAGGUCAUUUGGAAUGUUAAGGUUACUUUCUUGGUGGUUUGCCAUUGUGGAUCUCAGUGGGUUUUGCAAGUGAAAACUCCGGUGAUGAAAAGAUCUCCUUCGUUUCCCACAGACGACGCCAAUUGAUGAUCUGAGAUCCAAUAGAAUAGGGUUUUACAAGGGUUUUGGUAUUGAAAAAUAAACUUUUUCUUUCUGAGGAGGGGACUCCCCUUUUAUCCAUUUCGCUAUGCUUGCUGGUGACGUGUAAAGGCCUCUCCAUGAUUGGGACACGCGUCUCUGACAUACAGAUUCGGGCGUACGAGGGUAUCAGCCGCCUGCUCCAUGCGUAACGGCCUCUGAUUCUCCCCGUGCGUAUGCUCGAGCGGAUCUGCUAGGCUGUCUGAGUAUGGCUCUGGAUACUGGGCUGGGCCGAGAGUCGGGCCGGACGCUGAGCCUGAGAGGAGAGGGCCUGCUGGUCGCGGACUGGGCCGAUCUGAGUGAAGAAGCUUGGUUGAGUCCGGCCUUGAAGGUUGAAUGAGCCAGGCUUGUUGAGCAUAUCAGGUGCGUGGGCCUCUACGUUAUGGGCCUUUGGCUGUGGUCAAGCCCCUGAUCCGGGGUGAAGAAAUCCAGCGGUCAUCAGAAUGUAUGAGUUAAAAAUAAAAACUCCGUUUGGAAUAAUUCAGUUUAAUUGUUUUCCUUUUUUUAUUAAUACUUUAUUUGAUAGCAGGAAAAAACAACAUGAUAACACCUUAAUCAAUUCCAUUUUUGUAAAGCAAAUAAUAAAUUUGUUAUUUGUUUUGUCACGAAAUGCAAAAGAUGAAAAUUAAAAUAAUAUAAAAAUUUCAAUUUCCUUAAAUACUAAACCAAAAAAUAUAAAAUUUAAUUUAGGGUAAAUUUUGUAAUAAGAGUGUAUUUGGUUUAUACUAUUGAUUUUGUCAAAUAUAAAUUUUAUUUCUUUUGAAUUCUUUUAAAAUUUAUAAAUAGUAUAAAGUCAGAAAAAGAUGGGUUUUUUUUUUAAACAUAUCUUAAAGAUUAAUUAACUUAUAGGUUAUCUAACUUUAUUUUGGCCCUGAAUUCCAUGUCCAACGGUUUUCCAAAUUGAACUCUUUGUCCUUAUUAACACUCCAAUUUAUCUUAAAAAACAUUUAUAUAUUAAAAAACAUUUUUCAAGAAAAUAAUGAUUUUCUAUUAUUUUAUUAUAACAUUAAAAAAAAUAGUCAAUAUUAAUAAAAUUCAUAGACAGAAAUAGUGUUAAGAAAAUUUCAAAGUCCAUAAAGUGAUUUUACUUUGACUAAAAAAAUUUUUUUUUUAUUUCACAAAAAAUAUUGAAUGUAUUUGGAGAAUUAAUUUUAGCACUAUUCUUGUUCAAAUAAAUGUGAAUUUCUUUUUUUAAGUUUCGUUUUUUUCAUGGAAAAUAUGAAAAUAUUUUCUGUAUUUUUUAUUUUUAAAUAUUCAAAAUAAAUAAAUAUAAUAACUUAACUUUAAGUAUAUGUACGGAAUAAAAAGUGGACUAAAAAAUUUAAUUUUUAAAAUAUAAUAAUUACAUUAUUAUUAGUAAUAAAAGUGGAAAUUAAAUUAAUUUUUUUUAAUUUUAAAUGCUUAUAAAUUAAUUUUUUUAAUUUUAAAUGCUUAUAAAUUAAAAGUAAGUAAUUUAGAGGCACUAACUUAAACCUCACCAAGUUCAACUUGGUUCAAACUUGGAAUUAGGUCCAAGUCCAACGGCUACUUUGCUCAUUCCUUUAUAAUAAAAGUGCCGCCGACCAUCCUUUUGUUUUCAACUUUUUACGACCUUUUACAGCUUGGCUCUGUGGCUCUCCACCACUAAUCUCAGAUUUCCCCCUCACCUUUCUCUAUCAUUAAAAAGCUCCCCUAUGCUCAUGACUCAAAGCCAUCAUCAAUCCCUUCCUCCAACUAAAAGGACAGCAUUCAUUUCGCCCAAAAACCAUGCAGCAGCCACAAAAAUUGCCCAGAAAGAGAGUACCCAUUUUCCACAAGGUCUCAAAUCUUCUUAGAAUAUCCAUUCCUUUUUCUAAAAUGAGGAAACCUGUCAUUCCCAAUCUCAUUUUCCUCAAAAAACCAAGAAAUCUUAAAAGGUUCAUGUUACUCGAGCAGUAUAACAGCUAUGGGUUUCUCAAGGAUUAUGAGUUCUCUCCUUCGAGUACUCCCCUAAUUCGUUGCUACAAAAAACCGUUCAAGAAUGGUAGUUAUAGAGAUAAUGUGUACUCCAUGUUCCUCUGUAAAUGCUUGGGUGGACUGAAAGCUGAUGGAGGAGAAGUAGUAGAUUAUGCGUUGCCAUUGCCUGUAGCUGUUUCCCAUGCGGAAUAUCUGCAGCCAUUGGAUUCAGGGGAUGAUCAGGAAGAGUCGGUUGAUCAAAGGGCUGAGAGGUUCAUUGAGUGGUUUCGCCAAGAGAUGAGAAUGCAGAGACAGGAAUCAAUUUAGCUAUGAUACAGAUAUUUGCAGCAGUGGCGUUCAGAAAUAUUUUGAUCCAAAUUCUUUAAUUUGAUUAUUGUUCUAAUUAAUGGUUCUGAUGGUCUCCACAAAAUAUAUAUAUAUAUAGAUUGUUGAGAAUCUUUUGGGAUUUUAAUUUGUUGUCAAAUUUGUUUUGCUAGCAAAAUUUUUGCAUUUUUUGAAUUGAUUAGUUGUAUUAUUAACAAAAAUAAAAUACAUGUUUUGGUCCGAUUUAUAUAAAUAUGUGACAAAAUAAAUAUAGCAAAAAUAUAUGAUAUGUGUUUAUAUUUGAAUUCACUCCUAAACUAAUAAAGAAAAUUAUUAAAAUAAUCACUAUUAUAAAUAAAAUAUAUGUAAUAAGCUGCAAAUUCAAAGAAAAAAGACAGCAUUUGAAGUAAGUUUACAUCAGCUUCAUUAAUGGAACAUUUAAGGCCAUUGCAAGUAGCCUUGCAAAUGGCCCUUAAAAGAGAGCUUUUUCAUCAUAAGUUGAGUUGAGAGCUUCAAUUGAGAGAGUUGAGCGGAGCAAGUCUCAGCUGUUAGUGAGAAAAAUAAGAGUAGAGCGGGUGGUAAUGAGUAGAUGAGAAUAUUUGUAUUGUGUGAUAAUAUUUUUUUUGUAAAAUAUUCUAUUCCCAAUGAAAUUAAUAUUUUCUAGUGAGUACAAUUUUUAAUUGUGUUUUUAUUUUUCUUUUCUUCCAUCUCCAUAAUUUUUUACAAGUGGUAUUAGAGUGGGGUUCGGUAAAAUUAAGUAUUAGAGUAAAAAAAAAUUUAAAUAUGCUAUGUGGUUGCAAUUUAAAUUAAUCUUCCACAUAAAAAAAAAAUUUCUUGGCCUAUUACUUGAUUCGAGUGGUGUCAGAGAGUUUGCUUGUACACAGUUUGGAUUUGUAAAGUUUGUUGGUUUAGAACCACACUUUCUUGAUAAAUUGCGAGGCUGCUAAAACCAAGACAAGAUGGCAGAAGUAAAUAAUGUUAGGGACAUAAAAAAGCUCAACAACAAUAAUUAUAAUAUAUGGAAGAUUUGCAUAGAGCUUGCAAGGUCAAGAUCUCUAGGAGAUCAUUGCUAGGACAAAUACCAACCCACCACCACAGGAUGAUCCUAAUAUUUUAAAGAGAUGGAAGAUUAAAGCAUGAAAAACAAUGUUUACUAUGAAGACGACAAUAGAAGAUGAAAUGAUGGAAUACAUCAGAGAAGCUACCACACCAAAAGAAGCUUGGGAUUUGCUUGCUUCUCAAUUUAUAAAGAAGAAUGAUGCGAGACUGCAGUUGCUGGAAGGUGAACUAAUGUCUAUCACACAACGUGAUAUGACAAUUAGUCAAUACUUUACAAAAGUAAAAACCGUUUGUAGAGAAAUUACAGAGUUGGAUGAGGCAUCCACAAUCAGCAAUGAUAGAAAGAGGCGAAUCAUCAUCUAUGGAUUACGGCCUCAAUGGAAGAGUUGGAGAAUUGGUAAUUCAAGAUUGGCUAACACAACCUUCAAUUGAAGAGUUGGAGAGUCUGUUAGUAAGUCAAGAAACUCUAUGUAACGACCCAGAAACCGGACCGCUACCGGCGCUAGGAUCCAGAUCGACUUAAGGUCGCCGGGACCCGUAGCAAGCCUGCUAUACACUCUGUACAUCUGGUAUAAUCCCAUACAUGAUCAAAUAUAAACAUAAAAACUGUAAACUGUUCUCUAUACCAGGCUUAACCUGAGCAUGCUCUGAAUCAUUCUCUAAGCGAUACCUACUCUGGUACCACUCUGUAGCUGUAAACAUAAAAACCCCUUACUGGAGCCCUCAUCCAAUGCCCCAGUUGGGUUAACAUAUCAGAUGUUAAGCCUGGUUCAUCAUCAUAAUAUGAUAAAACAUAUAAAAGAUCCAUGUACAAAGGAAUUCUCCAAACACUAGGGCCAAGCACAAAACUAUAACUCUGUAGACAUUACAGGGUAUAACAUCUCUGUACAUAACAUAACUUUACUUUACAUCAUGUCCACUACCUUUCUAUUACAAAACAUAGCCAUAACCAUAGCCAUGCUCCUACUCUUGCUGACUCUGACUUUCCCAUAGCUAACUUUGGCCCUAAAAACAUGGGGUUAAGGGAAUGGGGUGAGCUAUAAAGCCCAGUGAGCAGAACUAUAAAAACAGUAAAACAUAUGCCAUCAUGGAAUGCAUCACAUCACAGUAAAUCACAUAAAGGAUGGACUGACUCAAAACUCCCUCUACUCUGUGCCCGGCCCUCGAAGGAGCUCAUCAAGACUUCUGUUACAUACAUAGCUCUGUGCCCGGCCCUCAAGGGGCUCCUCAGGACUUCUGUUACAUGCAAUAUAAAAUUAGAGGGCUAAUGAGUCGUCCUGUUGUCCAUCCACAUGUACAAUAAAUAAUACAAUGCGUCAUCUUCGUGAACACUAAUGCAAUACACCUUAUUAUAAACAUGGCAUUCGUGAUGCAUGGAACAUGCUAAAACAUUCAUGUAUUUAAAAACAUAGGUUAGUUCCACUCACCUCUAGCAACUGCUGAGCUAACUCUAGACUAGCUAACUCUGAGGGCUUCCUCGGUCCCUCGGGUCCAAUCCUACAAAGGUGGACUCUAAUGAGGUACCAAACCACUCUAACAAAGCUCUAAAUAUUCCCCCAAAAAACCCCCUAAAAACAUCAUAAACAUGCAUGGAAAAACGGGCAAAGGGAAGGCUGGACAGGGUACCUUCGGCGGCCGAAUACCCUCUCCAGAUCUGAAAGUCAGGCACUUUCGGCGGCACCUUCGGCGGCCGAAAGCCUACUCCAGAUCCGAAACUCCACUUUCGGGGGCAAGGUUAGGCGGCCAAACCAUGCAUCCACAGGCAGGUUCGGAAGCCGAAACCACCUUCGGCGGCCGAACCUGAGUUCAUCCAGAACUCAGCCUCUUAUGCAUACAAGCCUCCCAAACCUUCCAAACACCCAAAACAUGCAUCCAACCUCUCUAAAACAUGCAUAUGCCCUUAACCAUGCACAAAGGAGCUUAACACAAGCUUAAACUCCAACAAACAACACAUCUAGCAUAUAAAUAGCUCAUGAUCAACGUAAGCCAAAACCAUGCAAACCAUGCAUAACCAUGCAUAAAACUCCCUUAAACCCAUCAAAACACACUUAAAACAUAAGGAAAGGUGAGGAUCCAUGCUUACCUCUUGAAGAUCGAGAGGAUUGAUGGUCUGAACUCGAAGAUGCAAAGGAAAACAGAUCCGGAAUCUCAAGCCUUACAACUUUGCUCCUUAGCUCAAACCUCUUCCAAACAAGGAUAAAACUCAUGAAAACCUUGAAGGAUUUGAAGACAAAGCAUGAAAACAACCAAAGGAGAGCAUGAACUCACCUUAGCCCAAGAAUGGAGAGAACACUCCACCAUUUUUCGGACAAGAGGCCUUUUAUAGGUGGCCUGGUAAACCAUUUCCGGCAACCAAACCUGCUUCCAAAACCUCACCAUGUUCGGCGGCCAAACAUGGGGUUCGGCGGCCAAAAGAAAGCCACUUUUGGAAGCCUAACGUGCCCCCUAAACUAGCCCAUGUUCGGCGGCCGAACUUCACUUUCGGCGACCGAACCUGGCACAUGCCUCCUUGGUCUUUUCUUUCAAAACUCAAAUCCUUUCUACUUAAAACUGUAAAACAUGUAAAACCAUUUAAGAAAACCUUUACUUUACCCCUCUAGAAGGCUCCGACAUCCUCACAUUCUAGAUUCCAACGGAAAUUCCGCCGGAAAGUAGAAAUUCUGAUGUCGGUGUCUAGUGGGGUAUUACACUCUAGCAAAAUAAAUGGCUAGAGUUUCAUCGAGUACAGAAGAGGUGGCGCUCUUUACUAAUAGAAGAAGGAACCAACAUCAUGGUUAGAUAGGGAAGCAAACACGAGAAAGUUUCCAAUCAGGGAGAGCUAAACAGAGGCAAUCUCCAAACAAUCAACAGUCUAAAAGUUUUAGAUGAAAAAUUAGUGAAUGUUUAACUGUGGCAGAAAGGGACAUUAUGCCAGAGAUUGUUGGUUCGAGAAAAAGCCUGUUGAAAGUAAUGCAGUAACAACCAACUUUGAGAGAAAGGCAGCACCAGCUGGCAGUAGUCAUCAAAAGAAACCAAAAUGGGACCUCGAGAUAUUUUUUACAAGUGUAGAAAUAAUGCAGGAAGAAUAUCCCAGUCCAGAGGUGAUUGAAGUGCCUACCCUCAUGGCAGUAAUGGAGGAAGAAGAACAAGCUUCUAGUGCUGUUAAUUCUCAUAGAGUAAAUUAUGAGAAAGAUUGGACCUGUGGCAUGUACGACUUGGACAUGUCAACUACCAUAAGCUGAAGUUGAUGAUGAGUAAGUUGUCACGUAGAGGACUACCAAGUCUUACUGUUCAUACAGACACAGUAUGUGCACGAUGUCAAUAUGGGAAGGCGCAUCAGCUACCAUAUAAAGAUUCAACUUUCAAAGCCAAAAAACCACUAGAGUUGAUUCACUCAAACGUGUUUGGAAAAGUAAAACAAUCAUUAGUAAAUGGUAUCCAUUAUAUGGUUACAUUUAUUGAUGAUUAUUCUAGAUAUGUCUGGGUUUACUUCAUGAAAGAAAAAUCUAAAACUCUUACAAAGUUUAAAGAAUUCAAAAUGAUGGUAGAAAGUGAAGUUGGGAAGAACAUCCAAUGCCUUCGUACAAACAACAUGAGUGAAUACAUCUCUGAUGAGUUCUCUGUUUAUCUUCGCCAAUGUAAGAUUCGACGACAAUUGACUUGUCCAAGCACAACACAACAAAAUGGCAACAAAAUAGCAUUGUUGAAAGGAAAAACAAACACCUUGCAGAGGUUUGCCGAAACAUGCUACAUGCUAAAAAUGUUCCAAGCAGAUUUUAAGCAGAAUGCAUGAGAAUAACAGCUCACAUAAUUAAUAGAUUUUCACAACCGAAGUUUGGAUUUAUGUCUCCGUUUGAGAAGCUGAGAAAAAUGAGACCCAUUGUAAAUCACUUCAAAGUAUUCAGGUGCGUUUGUUAUGUCUUUGUACCUGAUCAUCUUCGAAGUAAAUUUGAUAAAAAUGCAAUCAUAUGCAUCUUUAUGAGUUACAAUAAAAAUAGAAAAGGUUGGAGAUGUUGUGAUCCUGAUACCGGCAGAUGUUAUGUCUCACACAAUGUUGUAUUUGAUGAGACAUCAUCCUGGUAGACCCCAGAGUACGUGGCACUACCUCAAUCUAAGGAGAUAGAAAAAAAAUUGCAAUAAAUGUUUGAAGAACCAUAAGAAGAACUACAACAAGGUAUUGAAGCUGCUCCACAUUUAAUACCGCAAGAAAAGCCAUGGCAGACAGGUAUUUACCAACAAAUAGAAAAAGAAAGCCAAUCAACAAAUAUGUUAGAAGAUCAACCAAUAAUAGAGCCCUUGUCACCACAAUCAUCAUCGUCACAGCUAAGGAGACCAGUCAGGCCAAGGAAGCCAAAUUCUAAGUAUGCUAAUGUUGCACUUGUUGAAGAUGAAAGGGAACCAUAAUCCUAUGAAGAGGCAUCCUAGAAAGCUACAUGGAUACAAGCCAUGAUGGAAGAAGUUAAAGCUCUGAAAGAAAGUCAGACAUGGAACCUAGUUCCAAAGCCAAAAAAUGUAAAGCCCAUAUCAUGCAAAUUGGUUUACAAGAUCAAGACUCGGUUAGAUGGAUCAAUCGAGAGAUGCAAAGCUCGAUUGGUAGCUCGAAGAUUUUCAUAAUAAUACGGACUGGACUAUGAUGAGACGUUUAGUCUAAUGGCUAAGAUUGCAACUACUCAUGUUUUAUUAGCACUUGCGGCAUCAAAAUCAUGGAAUCUAUGGCAGAUGGAUGUGAAAAAUAUUUUUUUGAAUAGAGAGUUGGACCGUGAAGUUUACAUGAAGCAACCGCAAGGGUUCGAGAAUAAGCUCUACCUGCAACAUGUUUGCAAGUUGAAGAAGGCACUAUACGGAUUUAAACAAGCUCCAAGGGCUUGGUAUGAAAAAUUGCUAAGUUUCUUGUCCGUAGUGGUUAUACAGUAGUACCAACUGAUUCUAGUUUGUUUGUUAAAGCUCGAGAAGGAAGGCUAGCAGUAAUCUUAGUUUAUGUUGAUGAUCUCAUUAUUACUAGAGAUGAUGAGACAGAAAUCCAACAAACAAAGGAGAAUUUAUCAAUUCGCUUCCAAAUGAAAAAACUUGGAGAAGUAAAUCACUUUCUCGAACUGGAAGUAGAACACACAAAGGAGGGAGUAUUCUCAUGUCAGCAAAAAUAUACAAAGGAUCAAUUUCAGAAGUAUGGAAUGCUAAAUUGCAAACCUCUUACUCUUCCAAUAGUGGCCAACUCUAAGUUAAGCAUCUUAAAGGGCAAAAAUCUGGAGGAUUCAAAAAUGUACAGACAAAUAGUUUGAAGUUUAAUCUAUCUGACGCUGACAAGACCAGAUAUUGCAUUUGCAGUUGGAGUAGGAAGCCGCUUCAUGCAGAAUCCAAAAAGUCUCACUUGAAAGUAGUUAAUAGAAUUUUGAGGUACAUCAAAGGAACACUUCAUCUCAAGUUAUUUUACAAAAGCAAAGUUGACUGCAAACUAGAAGGUUAUUGUGAUGCUGAUUAUGCUGGUGACUGUGAUACAAGAAAAUCAACUAUAUGUUAUAUAUUUAGUCUAGAUUCUAGAGCAAUCACUUGGUAUAGUAAGAGACAACUGACUGUGUCACUCUCAACCACAGAAGCAGAAUACCGAGUGGCAACAAUGGCAGCACAAGAAAGUACUUGGUUGGUACAGUUACUAAAAGACUUGCAUAAAGAAAUUGAUUAUCCAAUACCGUUGUAUUGCGAUAAUUUAUCAGCGAUCAGUCUAGUUGAGAAUUCAGUAUUUCAUGCUAGAACCAAGCACAUCGAGGUGCAAUAUCACUUUAUAAGAGAGAAAGUGUUAAAAGAUGAGAUCAAAAUAAUGAAAGUAAAGACAGAAAAUCAACUGGCUGAUAUUUUUACUAAAGGUUUACCUAAUGCAAUAAUAGAAGAUUUUCAAAAUCUACUCGGUAUGAACUCAAAGGCAACCAUAAAAAAAUGUAAUUAGUGAUAAGGGCAGUGUUAAAAUCAUCACUAUUAUAAAUGCAAUUUAUAUAAUGAUUAUUUGAAUUAAAAAAAAAAGCUACAAAUUCAAAAAAGAAAGACAACAUUUAAAGGAAGCUUACAUCAACUUCAUUAAUGAAACAUUUAAAGCCAUUGCAAGCGGCCAUCCAAGUGAUCUUGCAAAUGGCCUUGCUGCUGCCUAUAAAAGGCGUGAAGGAAAGCUUCUUCAUCAUCAAUUGAGUUAAGAGCUUUAGUUGAGAGAGUUGAGCAGAGAAGUCUCAAGUGUGAGUGAGAAAAAUAAGAGUAGAAAUGGGUGGCAGUGAGUACAGUGAGAAUAUUUGUACUGAAUGAUUUUUUUUUAUUGUAAAAAGUUUUAUUCUCUAAAAUUCAAUUUUUAAUUAUAUUCUUAUUUUUCCUUCAUUUCAUCUUCAUAAUUAUUAUAAAGACGUGCCAUUGUUUUUAUUAUUAGUGAAAUUUUUCAAAAGGUGUGUUAAUUUGUUUUAAAAAAAGUUAAAGUUCAAAAGUAUUAAAACAAAUAAUUCAAUUUGAUUUAUAGUUUGAAAUUAUGAGUAAUUUUUUUAAUAAUUUGUUUAAUUAUAAAUCUCAAACUUUAGAGAACAAAGUCAACCAUCUUUAGACGUAUUUUUAAUUCAGUUAUUCCUAUAGUUUUAUCUUCAAAUAUAAAACUCCAGAAUUCAAACUCCUUAGUGAAUUGAUCUCUUCAUAUGAAAAAGUUUAUUUUUUUUAUUAAAUAUACAUAAACACGUACUCCCGUUGUUAAUAAAAAUGUAAAUAAUUUUUGUACGAAACUGUUUUUUAUGGAAAAAAAAAUCUUACAUAUAAGUUUUUGAAAAAAAAAAAUUUCAGAAGUGCUUUUCAUAAAAACUAUAGGAAAAUUAUUUGUAUUAGUGGAUGUUAUUUAUGAAAUUUCACGGUUUAGGAAAAAAAAAAGUAAAUAGUCUAUUAAAAUAUAAUAAUUUAAUUAGUUAAUUAAAAUUUUCAAAAUGACCAGUGUAUCUGGUCUUUCAAAUUAUUUCCUAUCUUGCCUCACUUAUGAUUUGUAUAAAUUAAUUUAAUUUAUAAAAUAAAAAAUAAAAAAGUACAUAAAGUGAAUAAUAUAGUUUGCUAAAAAAUAAAAAAUAUAAUUUAAUUAUUACUAAAUAAAGUAGUAUUAAUUUUAAUUAACUAAUAAAUUUAUUUUUUUUUUCAUUAAUCUGGAAAAUAAAAGAAAAAUGAAAACACUUCAAUGUUAACUGAUCAAACCAGUUAACUGGUCCAAGAAAAUAAAACCCAGUCCGUAAUAGCUUUAUUUUAAAUAGGCUGUCUCAUCCAGGCCUAAGAGGCUCUCCAGUAACAAGUAGAAGCGGGCCAGGUCGCCGAAGGGAAGGGAAACGAUGGGUCCAAAAUGUAAAGCAAUUUUAAAAGGACAAGGAUUUGAAGAGGGCUGGACUACACUCACAUGCUGGGCCUUAUUGUGGAAAAAGCAAAACUGGGAUUUUUAUAGGCCUGGGCUGCUUUGACUCAAAAUGGCAUUGCACUUAUAGAUGCGAACAGAUAUGUAGAAAGAAGAAGAAGAAAGGAAAAAAGAAAGAGUUUCUAUCUCUACCAAAUUAAAGAAAGAAAGAGAGAGGUUUUUUGUUGAAGUUACUUCCAAAGCAUCAUGUUGGUCCCAUACCAUUUCAUUUCUCUGCAAGAAAAGGACAGCCUAACUAAUUUACAGGGUUGUCUAUGACAGAGAGUAGAGGCAUUGAUUUUCAACUUCUAGCAUAAAUUUACAUUUUCUUUGUUUCAACAUAACCUAACUAGCUGCAUGUGAACUUUAAAAUGAGUAAAGCUUUAUGUGUCAGCUGUUACAUAGAGCUUCCUUUAUUCAAGAAAGAGCCUUUGGCAAAAUAAUAUUAACAAUGAUGAAUAUACCUUGAUGGGUUAUUUAAAGUUGGACUUUGAUGCUACCAAAAAGGAUAUAUUGGGUAGAGAAUAGAGAUUUCACAUCUCAGAUUAAGCUUGGAACCAGCUCAUGCAUGCUUCGUCUUCACUUUGCUUUUUACAAGUCAAAUGGUGAGCUAGCUUCAAUACACUAAUUUUCUUCUUUCCUUUUCUUGACAAAGAUUUUUCCCCUUUACCUACUAGAUUUUGAUUGUUGAAGAUGGCAUAUCAAAUUCAAAAUCUGUGUGGCUGACACUUGACAAGUUUGCUAAUUAAUUAGUUUGAUCCUCAACUGAUGGGUUAAAAUCAAGUCAACCGAGUUAAAAGAAGCAUCAUAAUAGCCCUAAUAAAAGUUCAAAAUGGAGCAAUGAGCAGCCAUAUAGAACGGAUUUUCGGAUGCAAUGAUGGCGGCUUCUUUUUGAAUUUAAAACACCAUAAAAGUAGAAAGUGGAGGAUAAUAUUUGGUUCAAAUCGAAUUUAAUUAAUCUGAAAUUUUAAUUUAAUUUUUUAUUUAUUUUGGUUCGUUUCGAUUUUUAAUUUUAAGAAUUUCAAUUGUAUUAGUUUGAUUUUAAUCAGAAAAAAUAAAAAAAAAUUGAAUCGAAUGAUAAUAGUAUAUUAUUUUUAAUAAUAUACUGAGAUUAGAUUAUGUUAAAAAUAUUUUAAUUAAAUUUUAUUUUAUUUUUUUUAAGUUAAUUAAAUUUUAAAAUAUUAAAAAUAAAGUGUAAAAAAAUAAUAAAAAAAUUAUUAAAGAUUCAAAUCGAUCAAAUCGAACUGAAUUAAAUCGAUUUGAUUUCUGAUUAAAAUCGAUUCGAUUCAUCUUUUAUAAAUACUAAAAUUUUAAUUUUUGAUAACCAACAGUCAUUUUUCCCUCUAAUUCAAAUUAAAUUGAAAUUGGCAUAAGAAAAUUUUCAAAUCACACGUUUUGGGAAGUUCCACAGUUGCUCGUAGAAACUGAGCGCUAUUUCAUUUAUGAUUGUGAUUGAGAGAUCAAAUUGAUUAUAUUUAAUAUAAAUUAAUUGGAUUAUUAUCUUUCUAUUAUACCUCCUUUUAUCACUUUUUCAAAAAAAAUAUAUAUAUAGUUUUAAAUUUUAAAUCGAAAAUCAUCUCUCUUCCAUCAAUGGAUACAAAAUCUCAAUCAAAUUCUAUCCCACUUUAAACUUUAUCAUAAAAUUUUAUUAUUUCAACUAACCCAUUUAUAUUCUUCAAGAAACUCUAUAUUUAUUUUUCAAGGAGAUCUUCAUGGUCAUUUUCAUAUUAAUUUUUAUCUCAUACUCUUCAUUCUGUUGUCUUCCAUCUCUCCAACUUAUUUAUAUCCUAAUUAAUUAAAAUUGCAUUGUGUGUGUGUGUUUUUUUUUUAUUAUUUGCAUGCGAUAUUAUAAUUUUUUAUAUAAAAUUUUAAUUAAUAUAUCUAUAAAUUUUUUUAAUUAUUUACUAUUUGCAUGUGAUAUUAUACACAGUAAAUUUAAUUUAAUUUGAUCUUAAAUAAAGUUAAUUAGCUCAUAUAUGGUGCAUAAAGUUUUUUCAAUUUAAUUUAAUUUAUAAUUUAAUUGAAUUAAAUGUCGCAGAUUCAAUUUGAUUCGACUUUACUUACGUAGAUUAAAAACUCAAAAUUUAUAAGAUUUUACAUAAAUUAAUUCGAAGUGAGUCAUAUAAAGUAUAAUUAAAAUUUCAGAUAAAUUGACUCACAUCUAGUGAAUCAUGUAAAGUUAUUUUAGAUUAAUAUGAAUCAAAUAUGAUGAAUUCAAUUUGAUUUGAAUCGAUUCAAUUUAACUAAAAUCUCAAGUUAACUAAUUUACAUUGAUUAAAGUUUUAAAUAAGUUGACUCAAUGUAAUUAAAAUGUCAAGUUAAUUUAAUCAAUUUGAUUCGAUUGCAAUUUAUUAAAUGAAUGAUUCAAUUUAAUUUAAUCUUUAAUCCACAAAUCAUGAAUUUUGUAAGAAUUUAAUUGAAUUAAUUUUUAUAAAAUUUUUAUUUAAAAUAAAAAAUUUUAAAUUUUUUAAUUUAAAAAUUAAUCAAUAUAUAUAUAUGAAAAUGAAAUCAUAAAUAAUUUUAUAAUAAUUUAUUUUUUUUUACAGAAUCAUUUAUACCAAACAAAAAAAAAUAAAUUAAAUUACAUAUAAAAAUCAGAUAUAAUAUAUUAAUUUAAUUAAAUUGGCUCAUUUUAAUUUUAUAAAUUAAUUGAUUUACAUAUUCUAUUUAAUUUAACUCAAUAUAAAAAAUAAAUUACAUAUAGUGGAUUCACAUAAUGGAUACAUAGUUAUUUAUGUCUUGAAAAUAACAAUAUAAUUUAUUAUUAUUUAUUAAAAAAAUAUAUGUAGUUGGAGAGAAAUUGAUAGAAGUAGGAUGCCUCUAAAAACAAGUAAGGGUAUAGUAGACAUUUUCAUUAAUGACAACACUGAUGUAAGCAUGAAGCAACCGCCUUCACUCCCUCUGGUAGAUGGAUCAUCUCUAACAUACUCCAAAAGGAGUCAUGAAACCCUAAUGAGGAAAUUUUUACUUUAAUUUGCACCAUUAUACUUCGUUUAAGAAAUAAAAAAAGGGAAAAUAUAUAAUUAAAAUUAAAUAGUUUCAGUUUUAUAUAAAGAUGAGAGAGAGAGAUGUUCGUCCUGUUGUGAGUACAACCUUUAUAUGAAGAAAUUGUAGUGAUGUGGACACAUGUAACCUAUUCUUUAGUCUUCACUUUCCUGGAAUUUCACUUUUUGCUACUGUAAAUAGUAAUAAUAUGUAAGCUGUGAAUGGUGGUGUUUGCAAGAAUAGUACACAGUACAUGGUGCCUUUAUAGAGGUAACCUAUUCAUGCAAUAUUUUUCUUAGAAUGCAUCCUAUGGUGGUUACUGAUCAGUCAAUGUCAAGAGAAGGAAGCUGCAAAUUGUCAGGGGAAACCUACCAUAUCUCUAAGAUAGAUAUAAAAUUUGCUUUCUUUUGGUAUGGACCACUAUAAUUUUUUUUUUUUUUAUCGAAGAUAAACAUAUUUAUUUAAAAAAAAAUUCAGAUUCAAUAUAUCAACAAGACCAAUAGUACAAAUCUAAGAAAAACAUGUUAUGCCUUAAAAAAUAUAUAUAUAAGCCUAUAACUCAAAAAUAAGCCCAUGCCCCAGAGUAGACUCCUAAUUAUGAACAAUGACAGCACUUUAUAGACUCAUUAGUGUUGUCGAUCUUCUUAGGAGGCCACUCAACCGGCGAGCAGUUUAAACUUGCAUUGAACGCUCAAAAGAAUCUGGAAAAAAAAAAACAAAUGCAAACACUAGCGUUAGAGGAAAAUGGAAAUAAUUUAGGUCCAACAAAUAUCAAAGUUAAGGAGAAAAAUCGAUAGAUCUUGUAAAUCUCAAUGAAAGAUGGAGGUGGCAGGUCUUUCGAUGUUUCACUCGCGACUUCCAAGCCUUUUAAACUCCUUAUGAGAUUACCACAGCUAUUUAAGACUCUUUUACACUUUCCAUCGAACUUGAAUCAACAAAAAAAAUUGCCAUUGACUUUCACUGGAAGCCUUGAGAACCGGAGCGAAUUAAAUCGGUCAUUGUUAACCUCUUCGAAAUAGUCAAAACUCUUCUUUACCGGAUCUACAUGUUAUUACAGUAGAAAAAACUUCUCGGACCGACACUCAAUAAGUCCUUGUAUAUAAAAAAAACACUACACAAACUCAACAAAACAAGUAGAUCUAAAAAACUAAAUAACACGGAGCAAUUAAUUUUUAAUUUUAUGGUAGAUUUAGAUCGUAUCUAACUUUUAUUACAGACGUCCGAUGGAGACCAAUGAUAACUUUUCAAAAAAGAAAUUUCGAGAUGUAUGACUUUCAAAAGUGUGACAAGAACCAUAGGUUUGCUCACAAAAUUCGAUAUGAAAAUUUCAAUAUUUAGGGAUUAAUUUUACAUUUUAAUUAAUUUUUUAGAUAUUUUUAUAAUUUUGUAUAUUAAAAUUUUGUUUUUAUUAUAAAUAGCCUUCCUUUAUUAUUAAAAAUUUAAUUUUCAAGAAUUUUAUAAGAUUUUUUAUCUUUUAACCUAUUUUUUCUUUUAUUUCGUAUUAACUAAACGAUAUUAAUUAAAAUUUUUAACGAAAUCUAAAUAAUCGUUUUAUCACUAAAUCUCCUUUACAAAAUCUCUAUCCAUGUGCAACAAAACCAACAAAGAUAUUUGCAAAUCUCAAAAGAAAAAAGGAACCCACUUUUUUUAAAAGAGGAGGAGGCGUGGUCGUACCCGAAGGGGUAAUUAAGGGAGGAUGGACAAGCGGCAAUGUUGGAGGAGUACCUCCGGAAAAGACUCCCAAGAAAGAGAAAGAUGAGAGAAAAAUUCUCUCUAGAGAAACGACCACUACAAAUUUGAGUCCUUUUGCAGCUCACUCAUCAUCUCUUUUUUAUUUUAAUGCUUAGAUUAAGCUCGUUGUCAGAUAUUCAGAAACACAGGAAAUUUUGAAGAAUCUAUGUCCAUCGUGCAUGGGGACAUUUCAAUUCCUUAGAAACGAUAAAUUACAUAAUUCAAUCAGACAAGUAUGAUCAAUCGAUGUCAAAAUUCAUUACAAGGAUGAUGCAGGGUUAAAGUAUAUACCAUUUGCAAGUUGUUGUGUUUUGUUUUUCUGUCUAUUUGUUCUUGCAUGCAAAUGCAGGUUUCAACGACUUUAUCGGCUUCUCCUAAAGCUCUUCGCCUUACCGGUUGGAUCUAGGAGAGAGGAGCACUGCCUUUGAGUGGUCGUUCUUCUCUUAAAAGUUCUACGGGUGCUUCAAUUAGUCCUAAACUUAUCUUUGUUGUAAGAAGGGAUGUAUGUCUAAGCCUUGGUAUUGAGCAUCUCUAGGGUUCCUUACAGUGUCUGCUCCUAUAUUUUUUCUGCGGGAUCUUGCAAGUUCUUAUGUCUUAUCUCUCAUGUUUUAUUAUUAUUAUUUAAAAAAUCCAUUAAUGCAUUUUGCAACUCCUAAUUUAAGGGUUAAGGAAAGUGAAUAUUAAUUAAAAAUUAGUGGUUGUAAAUAUUUAAUUUUUUUUAAGUCUUCAUACUGUAUAUAUACACAUAUACAUAUUUAGAACAAAACAAGUAGGACUUGGACCACUAAUGAAAAUUAUUUUUAGUGUUGAUGAUAUGGAGUAAUUAACAUCAAACUGAAGAGAUGAUGAUGAUGAUGAUGGCAAAUUGCGAGAUGAAUUAACUGGUUAAGAUGCAUCCACCAGAGGUCCACUGAUCCAUGGAAGCAGUCAUUAUCUAGGAAAAGCAAAACUUGCACUUAACAUUUAUUAACCAAUCUGCAUUUCACUUAUUGAGUUGCAGGAAUUGACAGACUCUCUAAUUCAGCAAUUUGUUGGAAGAGAUAAGGUAAUCCAAAUAAAGAAUUCCCCACAUUGAGAGCUUUAUUAUGUGGUCCAAUCUAUGCUUAAAAUUUUCUAUAGGAAAAUUUAAUUGCUUCUUUAAAAUUUAUGUUAUUCAAGCUAGGAAUUUUUUUUAUUACAUUGAUAUGAUGAAAUCUAUAUGAAAUCACAGUAAUAAAAAAUUGUAAUAAAAUUGUUGUAUAAUAAUUUGUAUGAUAAAAUUUCUUAAAGAAAAAUGCUUCAAAUUAACAUAACCAUAUCCUUAAUUAUAGUCCAUCACUCAUGUUUGAAUGAGCAAACUUCUUAAACUAGGGAUUGCCUGUAUUUUGAUUGGAUCAUGUUAGCUAAUAAGCUAUGAAAAACUUGAUUGGAAGUUGAUGAUAAAGGAGGGAAAUGAUGGUUGAAGCCCUCACUUUGGCUUAACACAUGGGCUAAUUAAGCUCAUUUGAAAGGUGACUUCCACUAGUGAUCAAGUUUUAGAGAAUGGGAUUUUAUUGGUUAGAUGGAAGUGCAUGUCAACAUCUGUUUCAAAGGCAUUGAUGAAGCAAAAGAAAACUUGGGGCCCAAUCAAAAGUUGUGGGAAUGGGUUUGAUUCUGCCCAAUAGUCACUGAAGAAUUUGGAUUUUUGUGAUGCACCCAUUUGUCAAAAAGGAACUAAUUAAAGAAGAAAAAACUUUUCAAGUGCACAAGUUUUGAUUUAAUGUAUGAUCAUACUUGUACACCAUUAUAACUAUCAAAAUUGUCAAUUCAAUGGACAGUGAAAGCAAAACCCUAAAAGCAACCAAUCUCUAAUUCUCAUCCUUUUGUUAACAUUUUCCUCCUAUAUUCUGCCUUGUGAGACAUGAGCCAUCAAGGUUGGCAUUGGUUAAAUAAAUAAAUCAAACCCUUAUAAUUGUUUUCUUAAAUUAAUUAAAUAAAUGCACUAACACUUAAUUAAUUACACUAGAAUUUUAAAGUAAAAAUCAUUAUUUUAUCUAAUUACUGAAACUUUUAGGAAAUUUAGUUAAGGUUUUAGUACUACUUAACUAACAUAUUUAGUUACUAUUUUGGUUAUUGGAUUAUAUAUAAAAUUAUAUUUUUUCAAUAAAAUGUUUUUCUUAUGUUCUUUAGUAAUUCCACUAAGAAUUGAUGUUAGAUUUUUGUUUUUGUUUUGUCCAUAUAAAACCUACAGUGGGUGUUCAAUAGGAUGUUUAUAGAGAUAACAAGAUGCUUAACUUAUGGAUGCUCAAAUGCUUCUUUAGUCUCAGUUAAUUAAGCAGAUAAUUUUUUUUAAAACUUUAGUAUAAACUGAAAUUUUAUAUUAUAUAUAUAUAUAUAAAAGCUUUAUAGUCUAAAAUUUUUUAUUUUGCAGCCGUGCUGAAAAUGAACUAAAAUAUGAUGGUCAAUUUACAAAAAAAGAGUGGAGUGAUUGGCGCUUGUGAGUAACCACUUUAACGCUUAAUUUAAUAAUCUAUCACAAAAAAUAAAUAUAAAAAAAUAAUUUAAGUUCGCAAUGAGUGUGUAAGAAAGCGUAAGUUGAAUUCUGUAUAUUAUAUUGUAAGAAGAUGGAGUUAUUCAGUUAAUUUCUUAAAAAUUUAAUUAAUACCAAUUAGUAAAUAAAAAAUCUCAUAUAAUGAAAAUUUACUAGAUUUUAUCAUCUAAUAAUAACUUCACUUCAUAUCACGAAGGUUCAAAAGAUUCAAAGAGGGAGUCUUUCAUCAUUUUGAAUAUCGACACAAAUCUCUUUUUUUUAAGUGAAAUUUCUAUGAUCGAAUCGUAUAACUCUAUAAGGUUUUGUUACUGUCACCCAUGUGAUAUCGUGAAAACUUAAGCCAAUAUGAUAUCUUAGACCAAUAAACAUGUGUGAUGAAAAUGGAGAUUGUAAAAAGUAAAAGUUGAAGCUUUCCUCUACCUCAGUAAUUGGCAAUUGUUGCCAUCUGAGUCUGACAUGAAAUAUUUGGACCCCCACUUAGCAUAUAUGGAUGAUGCCUUUUAUCUUUCUGGCUAAACAGGUUAGAUGUAAAAUAAUAAAUGGGUUUUUUCAAUUUAAUAUUAAAGUUAGUAUUUAUAGUCAUUCAAUUGAGAGAUUGAAACAUCUUCUUCUUAAAAAUAAAAAGUCACAUUUAACUAUUUUGUGAUUUUAAUUUUUAGCAUUCGGAGUUUUUUUUUUAAUUAUUAUUUUUCAUGUCAAAAUUUUUGUUUUAAUUUAAAAUAUAUAAUUUCAUGUUGUUAAAUAGUUAUUUUUUUUAAUUCAUAUUAUUAAUAUGUGAUAUAUCACUGAAUUACUUUAAGGUCCUUAAGAAUUUUUACCUUUUUACAAAUUUAUUCCUAUACUUUAACAAAUUGAUACUUAAAUAUUGCAGUUAUUUUCAAGUUAGUCCUUCCAUUCUAACAAAUUAAUCUCUUAAUACUACAUAUUAUUCAAGUUAUUGCAAAUUUUUAAAAAUCUUUAAAUAUCUUUAAAGAACUUCAAGCUCUCUCCCAUAUAAGAUCAAGAUGUUUAACCUUUUAAAACUUGAAAAAACCUCUCAUAGCUUUAAAUAUCCUCUUGUCAAAGUUUGACAGUCAAACAAAGGAUAAAAUGAACACAUUUGGGAGCUCAAAAUCAAAUCAAACACAAUAAAUUUAAAUCUUAUAUAGUUUUGAAAUAUGUCACUUCCAAAACUGUGAAGGGUAAGAAAAAAUCUCCAUAGAGGUAGACUAAAUCACACACUAUUUGACAGGCAAUUUCUGCACAACCCAUUCUUUUGCUUGAUUGAAUUCUUUUGAGAAUAAUUCCUUCCAAUGCCAUCCACUGAUCACAUUUUUAUUUGCUACAAAAUGGGACUAUUAGUUAUUGAAAUUAAUAAACUUUCUAUCUUAGUUUUGAUUGGCUACAUUGAUGUAAAAAAGUCAAUUUCUUCUAUCGUAAAAUCUAUUUCUCUUAAAUAAGAAUACUAAACUUGAUCGAUCGAAAUAAAAAAAAAAAUCGAUAAACUAGAUUAGAAUUUGUGAUUAGAGAUUUAAAGAAAAAGAGGGUAAAAAAUAUAUAGUUAUAAUUUAUGAAAUGAAAAAAUAUAUUAUAUUUUGAAUACAUAUAUACCAACCUAAAUUUAGUAAGACCCAUCUGUAUACAUAUAAAAUUUACAUUAAUUUAUUAUAUUAUGUAGAAAAUGCUGCAUGAUAUUACCGAAAUAUUUUAUAAUUAUUGUUAUUUAUAGUAGUUUGUGGGGUUCCAAAGCUAUUUUUUGAAUUUUAGCUUCCAUGUAUUGGCCUUCAAUUAAUCCAUGGGUUCUGGUUUUGGAGCCUCAAUAGUCUUCCUAGCUUUGUGGUUUUAACUAGGUUUUAUUAUAUUCCCUGUCUUGAAAACUUUAAUUAUCGUGAUUUCGACAAAAAUAAAAAGAAAUUUAAUUAUUUAAGUGUUAAUGAUAAGAAACCACAUGCUUUAAAUUACAAUGAAAAUCUUUUAAAUUGCAAAAAAAUAAAAAAGGAUCUGGUUAUGGUUAAUUUCAGUUAAUCUGACUCUAUCAUAUGAAAUAUUUAUCGUUAUUUUUAUAAAUAAAUUAAAAUCAUACGUUGUUAUGCGCAGAAUCUCUUAAUGGUAGGCUUCUUAAAUUUAGCCAUAAAAUUUUAGUUCAAUCAAAUUGAAAGGUAGUUAUAUAUAUAUAUAUAAGUGAAAAAUCUAGUUGGAAAAAGGUUAAAUAGUAAAGGGGGAAAAAAAAAGGGGAAAAAUUGUGAGAUAGUGAAACAAAUCAUCACUUCCACGAAAGAAGAAGAAGAAAUAAAUAAAUAAAAUGUGAAAAAUGUACAGAAGACGAGGUAAGCGCCGGAGAAGAAAGUCACCGUCACGGCCCGGCUGGAGCAAGACUAAGAUGCAAGUCCAAGCCCAAUGCUUCAUCAAAAGUAGGUCCGCCGUCGCCCUUCGAGAACCUACUCAACGACGUAGGGCCAUUAAGUCCAUCUACACGCCCAUUAUGGACCCUAUUCUGCACUUGUUGCAGCCCACUACAUAAACUCAUAUCUCCUGCCCCGCCACUAUACUGCAACCCACCUAUGCCCCUCCCAGUCCCACCACCGAACCCACUCCCUCCCCCACCACCUCCACUGGGAAACACGCAUCCAUGCGAGACGUGGAUAGGCGCUGCUGGUCUUGGUAAGUAAACCCAUGAAGGAGCUGCAGCCGGGACCACAAUCUGACCAGCCGGAGCCAAAAGAUGAGGCGGUGGGGCAAAGGCGGAGAUCAUGGGGUUUCUAGCGAAGGAUACUGCAGCUGCGGCUGCGUUUCGGGUUGCUUGCAUUUGGGCUCGCUUGAGUUGCUGUCUUUCUUUUUUAUGUGCGUUCUGGUGGCCACCGAGUGCUUGUGAAUUGGCGAAUUCUCUGCAGCAGUACUGGCACUCGUACUUUCUACUGUCACCUGAAGAAGCAGCAGCAGCAGCGGCAGUUGCAGCUGCGUCUGGGGAAGUAGAAGAAGAAGUCUUGAUGGAUUCAGCUGUAAGUUCAUCAUCUUCAGAGACACUGAAGCCAAAGAGUUUUAAACGUGUGGUUGUAGAGGUUGGUUUUAUUUGGUAAUCUAGCUCUUCCAUCUUAGAUAGACAGAUGAAGCCGGAAAAAAGUAAAAAAAAACAGUAAUUUCUGAAAGAGAGAGAGAGAGAGAGAGGGGAGAAGUGGGAAAAAAUGAAGAUGCAAGUUCGAAGUGGAGAUGUUGCAUGAGUGGGGUAUAUAUAAAGAAUAAAAAAAAGGUUUCAAAAAAAAAUGGGAUACAGUAGAGAGAGAGAGAGAGAGAGAGAUAGAGAUGGUUGCGGACAUCCCAAGGAGAAGAAAGUGUGUGAUGGUAUUUGGGAACACGACCCAAGAACACUCGGGGACCCAAAGGAUUUGCACUUGUCUCUCUCUCUCUCUCUUUAAAUUAGCGAGAAUGCCCUUUUGUUUCAUUUUAUAAAUUUACACUAUCAAAAUUCCAAUUACUUCAUCAUCGCAUAAUAUGGUAAAUUUUAUUUUGUAUAGUUUCUAGCUUUGUCUUUUCCUGGGAGGAUAAUUUAGGGUUUUUCACUUCACUGUAAUUAAGAUUUACCUGCUCUACGUAUGUGAUACGUAUAAUAAAUUAAAUUUAAAUAAUUUUUUAUGGGUAAUUUCAAUAUGAGCGUAAUAGUUAAGUGAUAUGUUUUUACUUUUCAAACUAGGGUAGGGUUGUGUGAAUUUAAGAUUUAGGUUGAUUUUGUAAUAAUAUUCAUUGAAUUUGAUGAUUAAGUAGCUAGGCUAGCAUCGAAAUUCAUUGAGGGCUGUAAUUGGUUGACUAGGUCAUCAUCUAAAGACUUCAGCAACAGGAACAAAGAUAUUUCUUGGAGGGUUCUUUGGCUCCAAGUUUUUACAGAAAUGAAGUGAUUGAUGACGAUGAUCUGGGCCACUCGCAUUCAUUACAACUUCACUGUUAAUGAAAAUACAUAGUUAAAAGUUAAAGCACAGGCAUUCAGAUAUUAAGUAAUCUGGGUUUUGCUGAGUCUAUACAAGUGAAAUACUCAACUCACAUAUGAUAGACAGGUCCUAACCACUUUGUACAUGACACGUACCUUGCUACUAUAAUGGUGGUGACAGUCUUUGUCCACAAACAUUACUGAUUAAUUAAUCAAAGACUUUGUAUUUUUAUUUUAUUUUAUUUAAACAAAUUAUUAAUGUAUUGGGUGUGUCAGGAAGUGGCUGGCUACUUUUGUAAUGUUGUAGUAUGGUUAUGCUCUUGACCUUGCAGAUGGAUUGUAGUAGUAAGCAGUAGGAGUGGUGGAACGAUCCCCAAUAAGACGCCGUGAAGCCCAUGUCUCUGCUUAAAGGUUGCCCCAACUCUCCCUGCAAUCUCUCUCUCUGUGUAAAUCCAACGCAUAAGCAACUCCAGUUUUUAAUUAUUUAGUGUCUGAAAGUAUUUCUAAAGCACGUUGUAGACUCUCAGACGCUUAAUUACUCACUGUGACACUAUCCAUUGGGAGAAUGGGACCAUCUGUUGCUGCUCCAAAAAUAAAUACCACUGAUAAAAAAAAAAAGAAAAUUCGAUUAACAGAAUGUUCUUAAAUAUAAAAUUAAUUUAUUAUAAUUUUAAUGUAUUUUUUUUAUUUAUUAUAGAUUUCAUAUAUAAAAAAAUAUUAAAUGAACAUAUUUCUGAAUUAUGAAAUGAAGAUACAUAAACAUAAAAUUAUUAUGUGAUUUUUUCAUAAAAAAUACACGUUUACGUGUUUUGAAUCCAUAUAAACUGUGUUCAAAUAAAUUUUUUUCUUAUAUAUACUCUUAAGUCAUUAAUUUAAAUAUAAUUAAAUAUUUAUGAGUUAAUGACUAAAAAAAUUAUAUUUUUAAUUUUAUUAUAAUUACAUUAUAUAUUUUUUUAUCAAUUAAAAUUUAAAUUUUUAAAAUUAUUUCAAUUAUAUCCAUCAUUAUUUAUACCAUUAACAAAUAACAUGAUAAUUUUAUUAAUUUUUAUCAGUAUAAAUAAUAAUAAAGUAUAAUUAAAAUAAUUUUAAAAAGUUAGAUUUUAAUUGAUAAAAAAAUUACAUAAUAUAAUUGUAAUAAAUAAAAAAUAUAAUUUUUUUAUUAUUAACUCAAUAUUUAUUGAAUAAAAUAAAAGUCUCUCAUCUUAUUAAUUAAUUUUAAUUUUGUAAAAGGUCAUUUUAAAAAUUAUUUUUAAAUAAUUCUAGAACACAUCGAGCUGAAAUAUAUAAGGAAAUUGUGAUCUUACAUUUGCUUUAAAAAAUUUUUAUUUUAAUAUAUUUAAGUUAAUUUGGAAUCGCUUUUACUAGUACAUAUAAAAAACCAUGAAAUUUUUUUCUUAAAAAUCUCAACAUAAACGCCUCACAUUUUUUUCGAAAUCGCCUCACAUUUUAAUUAUUUAUAAUAUUUAUUCCUAAAAAUUUAACUAAAAGUAUUCAAAUUGUUAUUAAAUUAAGAAGUGUAUUUAUUCCUUUUCAAUAUUUUCUCUACUUAUAUUUUUAAAUUAAAUUAAUUAUGUUAUUAAAUAUUAUUAAAAUUAAUAAAUUCUUAUUUUUAAUAUAUAUUAAGUAGGGAUAAAUUAAUAAAUUAAUAAAUUUAGCAUUAUUAACAAAAUAUAACUAUUAGCUUUGAAAUUUUUCUUUAAUUUUAUUCUUAUAGUGAUGUUCAAUCAGCUCAUUUUAAAAUUCGAUUUAAUUUUCAAUUUAUAAUUUUAAAAAUAAGCUAACCAUCUUUCGCAUUUUAAAAAUAUAGUUUUAGAAAAUCAUAAUAAGUAUGAUUUUUUUUUUUUUGUAAUGUCAUUUCAUUGAUUUUUAUGGAAAUCUAAAUUAGUCCUAAUAAUCAAAUUCAAUAAGAAAGAUUUGGAUAAAAAGUAUUAAAAAUAAAAUAAUAAUAUUAUUAAAUAAUUAUUAAUUUUUCAAAAUAUAAGGGAUGCAAAAAGAGGAGGGGAUAAAAGGAAGUAUCAAUUGGUAAGUUGAAAACUAACUUAUAAUAACAUGCAUUAUACAAUAAGUCAGGAAAGAUUUUAUUGAAAUAAAUUAAAGUUAAAUGAUAGAAAAUAAAAUAAAAUUAUAAAUUUAAUUAUUUUUUCUUAAUAUAUGUUUCAUUUUUAUUGUUUUAUUAAAUUUGAAUAAUUUAUAUUAUUAAAUUAUUUUUAAAAUCAAUAAUUAUUAUUUUUAUAUAUCAAACAUAAGUAUGCUAAUAAAUAAAUUAUAAUAUUUAUAAAUAAUUUGAAAUCUAAAAUUAUUAAAAAUAAAUACAUUUUAUGAGACAGAUUAAUAUAAUUUAAAAAAUUCUCUAAUCAAUUUAAAUUAAUUACAAAGUAUUUAUACCUAUAAGUUUAUAACUACAAUUUAUAUUUAUUGUGAUAAAUUAUAACAUCAAAAUUUUCAUUUUCGUGCAUCCCUAUGCACGUGAGUCCUACAAGAAUAUUUCAUUAUUUUCCACUUUUAGCCCUUUGAUGUUAUUUCCAAGUGUUGGCUGAACUAAAAGUUGAUUGGUUCGGUAUCAUGAACCGCCGACAAAACCACCAGCUAGCGACAGCGCCACCAUGACGACCACCACUCUCUCUCUCUCAUAUAAAGUCAAAAUAUCAUGCAUGCAAAACAGAAACACUUUCGUAGCAUCCAGAGCUGCUACAUUUAAAGAUCUGCUACAUUUAAAGAUCAAACACCAUAGAAGUCCCGCACUAAUCACUUCUUGAUGGUCCCACGUGUCACCAUCGCAUUUAUAGUGCAUAUCUAAACUAGAUAUGCAUGUUUCACACGAAACAAAUUAGCCUUGAAAAAUUAGAAUAUAUGUUGAGAAGGAAAUCGAGAAUUUUAAUUAUAUUUUAUAAAAUUUAAUUGUUUAAUUGUUUAUAUUAAAUAAAUCGUUCUCUAAUUUAUUUUAAUUUUAAUUAAAAAAAUUAAAUAAUAUUUAAAAUUAUAUAAACUAAAUAAUAUGUAUAAUUAAAAUUAUAUAAAUUAAAUAAUAAUAAUAAUAAUAAUUAAAAGUAAUUAAUGAUUUUUUAAUAAAAUAAUAAAAUAAUUUAAAAAUUAAAUUUUAUAAAAGAUAAAAAUAUUUUAAUUGAAUGAUUUUAAAAUAAAAUAAAAUUAGUUAUUACAUAAAAACUAAAAUACUAGAUAAUAAUUUAUCCAAUUCUUAAUUGAUAUGAAUAAUAAACUCUGUUUCUCUCUGAUUUUUCAUUAAGAUUUUGAUUAAGAUGAUGGCAGUUUUGUGAAGCAAAGUCAAACUAAUCUAUAUAUUUUAUUCACUAUAGCUUCCACUCAUUAGCUUAUUAGCUUUGGUUGCUUGUUCUUAACUACUUGUUCCACAGAAUACAAUACUGUACAUGUUCAUCAUUUUAUGUAAUAUAUCUUAUUUUUUUAACAUAAUCAUGAUAUCAUUGAGUUAAUUAUUAUAUCUUAAUUAUUUCAUGCUAGUAUAUUAAUUUUAUAGUAUACCUCAUCUAAUACUCUUUUUCUAUAUAUAUACACUAUUAAGUAUUCUUCUAUUUAACAAAUGAUUUUAUUCAACUUAUUGACUAAAAUUUGAAUGAUAAAAUCAUUUUCUUUUAAUGAGAUAUAUAAGAAAAAUAUAUAUUAUUAUUGAAAUAAAUGAUUUAAUAUUUUCAUCUGUUAAGUAAAAUUAAAAAUUUAAUUUUUUAUAAUAAAAUAAAUAUUUAUUAAAAAUAUUUAUUUUUUAAUAUAUCAAUCGGACCGAGUAAAAUAAUAUUUCGUGUUAUUAAUAAGAAAAAAAAAAAAAGACGUCGAUUAUCAGAUCAGGUGUUUACAACUAUGAGAAAGGCCCUACCAGCAUUACGUGGAAGAUGAAUAAUUGUUUAGGAUGUUUGCGUGAUUGACGUUGAAAUCUAUAUUACUAAAUGGUUUUCUUUCUUUUUUGAGAGAUCUCUCCGAAUCUUACUAACUACAAGAGAGAGAGAGAUACAGAGGUUAAAAUAUUAAUAUAAUAUAAUUAAUAAGUAUAGUUUUAUAAUCACCCACUCGAAAGAGCUUUAUAAAUAAUAAUAAUAAUAUUAUUAUUAUGAUGCAUUAUUAUUCAAAAGUUAUAUAUAACUCUUUAGAAAGUCUUGAUCACAACCCAAAGCAAUGCCCCACCAUGUCUCCUCUUUCUCGUGUGUGUUCUAUUCAAAGGCUUCUUUAACUUGGUCAAAUUUUUCUAUAUAAGAAUUAAUAAUCUUUUUAUCAAUCCCUAUAUCAAUUUCAUCACCUUUGAGUACUACUUGAAAGCUUUUUUUUUUUUUCGACCGUUGGAUUUAUAAUUAAUCAUGAUUACUUCCAUAACCAUCACCCAUGAGUUGAAUCCAUUUUAAAUUCAUUUUAAUAUACAUAUAAUUAGCCAAACUAAUCAAGUUUUCAUAUAUCUAAUUAAUAAUAUAGACUAAAUGGGGUAAUUAUCAUGAAUCAUUUAAAUAUAUGGGACCCAUAAACCCUAACAUGGGUUUUCAUUGAAAUAAUUAUGCACAUAGAUUUAGGACUUAGAUUAGGAUCUCCAUUAGUUUAGAAAUUUGAUUUAUAUGACUUAUACAACCUAACCUAACCACCUUUUUUGCUUUAUUAUGUUGGAUCCAAUGAUAUAUUUUCCUUUAGGUCUUAAUUUCUUCCUUUCUCACACUUGGGAAGGUUGCAAAGAAACACCAAAGAGGUUGGGUCACAGUCACCCACACCCUGGGGCUCAAGUGUUUGGUCUCACUCAAAAGGAAAAAUUAUGUACUGAACUCAACUGACCCUCUCAACUAAAUGUGAGUCCUGACUAGUCAUAUUCAUAAACCCUAAACCCUUCACACACACAUAUAUAUAGAUAGAUCUAUGGUUGUUGGGACCAUUUCUGUGUAUAUAUCCAACUAAAUUAAAGUUAUUGUACUAUUAAAUCAUCCUUCCAAUAAGCUUCAUAUAUAUCUCAAAUUUGCUUCUGAUCAGUACAUGCACAAUCCACACAUGCCUGCAGCAUGGGGUUAGUGGGAUAAACCCUAACCCUAACUUCAUAUGUCAAAUAGAGCUUAAUUUGUUGAUCACUUCAUUUUGAUAAAAUAAGAUUCCAAAUUCAAGUGUAGAUGAAUUAUGCAUAUAGUAUAAUGGACACAUAAAUGUGGAAUGUUCAUGCAUUGAACCAAACUUUGUAAUUAUAUAUGUUUUCUUGAAAAUGGAUUAAGUAUAUUUUAUUGAAUCUCUCUUUGAUUGAUUGAAGAAGAAAACAAAAAAAGGACCAAAACCCAUUAAAUAUAUUUAGAUAUGUCAGUUAAAAACCAUGAUAGGCAGAAGAAGGGGACCGAGGCAGGAAGAGGUAUAAAUUGUAAAGGGUGGGUGGAGAAUGGACAUUGGACAUAGGCACAAGGAUUUCUCCACUAAUGGAGGGAGAUACAUGUGCAACUGAAGGAGCAUCUAAUUAGCUUCUCACUGUUUCAUGAACAAAACUUAAUUUGGUAGGGCCCAUCCCACUCAGGGACCACAUGUGCAAAAAUGGGUCCACAUCUCCAUAAAGAAAUUUUAACUCUUAAAGUGGGAAAAACAAUUGUCCAAUCACACUGCUACUAGCUUCUUGUUCCUUGGUGAACAACUGUCUUAAUAUAAACAAGUUUUCUAAUAAUUAUAAUCAGUGGAUGAUGAAUUCAAAAAAAUUUAUAUACCUAUUAUUAUUUAUGGUACUAUUUUUAACUAAAAAAAUGGCACAUAUAUAUAUAUAUUAAGAAAAGAAAUUAUUCUUGUAAUGGGUUUCCACCAUCUAAUAUAAAAAACACUUUUAGGAGCCUUAAUCAUGCUUAAUUUGUUGUUGAUUGAAAUGAUGCCGAUAUUAUCAUUUAAGAUUACCCGAAUCCCAAAUAUGGCCCACCAAGUUGUGCUUAUCAAGGAAAGUUAACCAAUGAAACUAAAUAAAACAUAAAUAAAAGAAAGAUUAAUUGAGACAAUGAUCCCAUCAUGUUACAACUCCAUUAACUUUCUAAUCAAUCUUUUGUUUCUUUUUGCAACCAUUACUUUUGGAAGGAUCCAAAAAGGAUAAAAAAAGAUAGCCCCAAUAGAGACUUAGUUUUCAAGUUGGAAAUCCCUUUUAUGGAUAUGUUCAAAGCAUUUUUUUAACAAUCCAAACGUUGUGGGUAUGACUCAAUAAGCUCUCCAAGUGACAUUUUUCAAUUUCAAAAUUGUAUACAUAUAUAUAUAUAUAUAUAAUUAAAGGGAGGUUGAGUGGAGUUAGCUUUAAGUCAUGUGAGGUGACUCUUUCUUCCUCUUUCUCUUAAUAAAACCACUUAUUUAAUCAUUAUUUUAUGUGCACAUGAUGUUAAGUCUACAUUACAGUCUAAAUUGGCUACAUCUAAUUCCAAUUUUUUUAUAGUAAAUUAUUGCUGGGAAUUCCAUCAAGCUUUUUUUAAAAAAGAAAUAAAAGAAAAAUGGACACUAACUAAAGGUCCGUGAAAUGGGGUUUUGGAUUAAGGGGACUUUGGUCAAUCAAUGAGACAAAACAAAUGUGGUUUGGUUGCUGAUAAAGUGAGACACCUAGACGGCUACAUAAACACACCACAUAACGUAUAACCCACAGCCAUGUAAUGGGGGGACAUCUGCACAUGAUAUGACAUUUUUUUUAAUGCAAAAAAAAUGAAAAACUCUUCGUGGAAUAAUCACGUAUUCUACAGUGUCAAUUCCUCUUGUUAAUAUUAGACAGUUGCUUGCCACAUGGUUGCAACCAAUUAGCCUCUGAUCUCUCUCUCUCCUGCCCACUUUGACAUUUUUGAGCACAUAUAACGACUCCAUUUACACUACCCCCAUAUUGUUAUAUUCAAAUUUUCUAAAUAUCUUUUUGUCUUGCAUGAAGGAAGCAAGAAAAAUAAUGUUUUUGCUCAAAUUCUUUUAUUUAUUAAUCAAUUUCGUUCAAAUUUAACUUGUGAUAUAAUUGUCUUAAAAAUGAUUCUAACAUUGUUAAAUUUAUUAAAAGUUCAGGUGGGGUUGCCCAGCAGUUGAAGGAUAAGGAGAAAGGGAAAAAACAUAGGGUUGGGGGAAGGGAGGAGACACAGAUUUAGGGGCAUCUACCCUAACACAAUAUUAUAUAGAGUUCCUUAACAAGUGUUUGCAUAUUUGCAUGUGGGACAUGGUCUUAGAAUAAGGGUUCAGGCAAUAAUUCCUAUAUUUUUAACAGAGACCCUUAAAAUAAACAAUCCUUGAAUUCUGGAAGAAUUUUAUCCGUUAGAAAAAUCCAAGUAGAUGCAAAGGGUCUAACCAUAACUAUACUUGAUUUUAAAUCAAUUCAACACAGAGGUCAAGACAAGUUGUUCGAUUAAAAAAUAUAGUUCUAAGUUGCGUGUAUACAGCAAGUCAUCCCCCACCAAUUUUUUUAUUAGUUGCCUAAACAUGUAGAUAAAUCUAAGAUUGUGUUUUGGUGUGAUUAGUAAAACCCAUAAUUGCAAGUUUAAUUUGUUUAGUGUUUCUUAUUGUCAUUUUCUUCUUCAAGUGUUUAAACCAUUUUGUUGGCUUAUCAAGCCAACAAUACCGGCACACAGAGGGAAGUAUACGUUUAAAUACUAAAAUAUGGAGAUGCGAACUUCAAUUUAACAAUUAAAAUCAGUUUACUUCUGCCAUCUAAUUUUUCUUCUAGCUUGUAUUUUCCUUACAAAACUUUGUCUAAUAGUCCUUCCCACUUUUUUAGAUGCACAUAAUUAUUUAGCUUGGUAUCUUUUGUCUCUUUAUCACUCUUAUAACUUUCGACAAAGAAAAUUAAUUAGGGUUAAUUUAGUAGUUGAAUGCAUAAAUUUACCUGAUAAAUGCAAAUUCGAGUCUCACUCUUCAACAGGGCCACAAGUGACUGCUUGUGGAGACUCUUGAUCCACUGCCUAGCCCUUCUCCUAAGUGAGAUUUUGACCAAGAACAUGUUAUUGUGGUAAAUAUUGUAAUUUGAGGAAACAUAAUAUAUUUACACUACAACAUGAUUGAGGUAGUUGAACAUCUAGUCACUUGUCAUUAUGCUAAAUCUCUAAAAAUAUAAACAAGUUGUUUCAAACAUAAUGCCAAAAUUUUUUAAAUACAAAUAUACCAUCAAGUACAAAUGCCAGCUAAGUCAUCAUCCCGUAUUUGUAGUGAAAUGAAAAGUUGUCCAGAUAAAGAUAAAAAAUAAUAAAUUCACGAAUUAAAUGAUCUCACUGAUAUUAAUUAGUUGACUAAAUAACCAGAUUCAUUUGCCAAGUUAUUUUCAAGACCCAAAAGCAACCACUAAUACUAACAUUAGGUCUCUUUACAUGCAAGAAUUACGAAUGCUGAACAGAAAUUCUUGUAUUCUUAAGAAAUUGUUGAUGAAAAUAAUACAACUAAAACUAUUAAAUUCAGCUACUUUAUCUGUGCAUAUUUAAUAAAACAAUUACCCACUUAGAGGGGGGACAAAAUAAUUUAACGACAAUUAAAAAAUUAAAUGAACGAUUUUUCAAUACAUUCCAUAAACUAGAAUUUACCUUGUGUGCUCUAAAUUUAUCAAAUUCAAAUGAUGAGAAUCUAUAAUUCAGAAUUCGGUUGGAGAAAAUAUUAAUAACAAUAGUAGGAAUAACAAUACAAAAUUUUUGUUUACAAGGGCAGGCCUCUUGCAGCCUCCAAACUGUUCCUGUAGGCCUCCAUUCGUAUUUCUGUUCCAUACACGUAUUUUCUCAACAUAUACACGUCAUUUGACAUCCUUCAGGUUAAAUGCAUGAGAUUGCCAACACAAAAUGAUCAGAAAAGAGCAAAGUAUAACGAAGAAUUUCUUACAAAAUAAACAUAAAAUGAAUUUUUUAGGAAAAAAAAAAGCGAGAGCAUAGAAGAAUAUAUUCAAAGUUGCCAGCUGAGCUACAAAGACAAGAAACGCAUUUGAUGAAAAAAUAUGAAUUGAAAUUAUACAUACAAAUGCCUUCAAACCCUAAAACUUAGAGAAUCCUAUGCCAAAGGAAACCACCUCAGAGAAAACUUUAAUAAGGAAAACUAAAUAGAACAAAUACCACGAGUAAAUUUGGGUGCAACAAAGCGGUGGCCCUAGAAUUUAAUAAAUGAUACUUAACCCACUCAAACCUCCCAAGAAUUAUAAAAUCACUUAAUUACCUUUUUCAACCAAGCUUUUUAUCAGAUCCUUUAAGGUUCAAGUUGAACCAUUUCUUCUUGCCUGAUUUAUCUUUUCCAUCACUUCCAUCUUCCCCUGGACUCUCAGCCUUUGAAUCUUCACCAGGAACUUUGCUUGUACUUCCAUUACUUAAAUUACUGACUGUCCUCAUUACAGUGAAUGAAGCAUGUGUAUUAUCCCGCUGUUUUAGUAGCUCAUCCACCUAAGGAACAAAAAAAAAUUUAUAGAGUUGACUAAACAAUAAAAUAAAGAAGUUGAUGCACUAAUAUGAAGUGUCAACUAGGCACUACCAUUCAAACAUUGAAUAGAAAGACAGACGAUGGUGAGAGAGAAGAAAAAGGGAAGCGUAUGAACAGGUCAUAAAGAAAGGUAAUUUAAAUAAGUAGAUUUUAAAUAUUACACCUUUUUUGGAAAAAAAUGGCAAUCAUCCACAGAUACUAAGUAUUAACUGAGAAAACAAAUUUUAAGAGUACAGAAGAGCUGGCAAGAGGUUGUAGGCUAGAUAAGGAGAGAGCGAAGGAGAGAGAGAGUGAGAGAGAGACUGCUGUCAUUCCUGAGCAAGAUCAUCCCAUUUCCCAUAAUCAACUCAGGCUCAGAGAAAGUAAUCAAAGGUGCUCUAGAUAUAUGGAUUGCACAUAUGCGGACAAGCAAUUGUGUCCACAUGUGCAUGUAAUCAUGUCAAGGCAGGAAAUAUAGCAUUGUCACAGAAUUAAAACACCUAAUAGGGAAUAUCAAGGUCUUGAAACAUACUGAUUGUUUUUCCUGGCUGUAUUUGUUGGUUACUUCUUGAAAGCGUGCCAAAGCCUACAAAACAUAGCCAAGUGAAUUUGAUGUAAACAUAAACUACUAAACAACCAAAUGAGCUACAUCUUGGGACAAAAAAUUACCUUCCUGUAUUCUGUCUCAAAUUGGCGUAGUUCAUUUCUUUUUCGUAAAAUUUGCACUUCAAUUUCCUUGAGUUUCUGUGUGGAAUCUUCGUAUGAUUUUGCACAAAGUGCCUCUAUUGUGUAGCUAGCAGUCUUGAAAAAAUUAUCCCCUAAGGAAAUUUCAGUGAAUAAAAUAUGCCAGACCAAUUUGCAAUCACUACGAAACUAAGACACCUAGCCAAUUAAGGUUGGGGGGCAAAAUAAGCAAUUACUACCAUAAACAGCGAAAAUAUGAGUGCCGGCUUUUAGUUCCGAAAUCUCACAAGGUUGAAGACCUUCCAGUUUUUUAAAGAAAGCAGCAUCAGGAUCCUUGGCUAUUGCUAACUGCACCACCAUGUAGCAAAUGAGUACUUCAGCAGUGGAAGGAACUAAAAAACUAACCUACAAAGAGGAAAAGGAAAUAGAGCUAGGACUUACAGCAUUCACAGUAGAAUCCAUUCUAUAUACUUGAAAAUGUAAGAAAUACAUCCCUGCAGAUGUCAUCUUGCCAGUCUUCUCACUAUCUUCCUGUGCAGAGAAGACAAUAAUAAUAAUAAUAAUAAUAAUAAUAAUUUGCACGCAUCAGUUAAGUUUAAAAGGUUUUCAUCAUGACAACUGUUGAGAUACUUUCUGUAAAUAGCCUAGAUUUGUAGUGAUUGUGUGCAUAAUUAGAGAUAUGAUUGUGUGAUAUGAUUGAGAUAUGAUUAGGCUACAAUUAGAUAAUUAAUUUAUUCUUGUAAGUAGUAUAUAUGCCCAAUUGGCUUAAAGGAAAUAAUCAAGUAUCUUUCUCUCAAAAUCUUUCUCUCUUUCUUUUUUUUUUUUUUAAUCACUGUUUGAUGGUAUCAAAGCUAAGCAUCUUGGUCUAUCUGUAAAUGACAGAUCUGCCACGGCCACCUUCAUUUGGAAGUUUUCUGGAAGUCAGUUAAUCUCACUGUCCAGGCCACCAACCUCGCCGGUUUUCAAUCGGCACCUCUUUGAAGCGCCAUCACCAGAAAUGCCGCCACGCACUGCCACUCUGUUUUUGCGUCCGGUAUACGCGCUAGCGCGUGACCCUUAUUCCAGUGACCUUUUCACGCCGGCAACUUCAGCCCAGUAGGUCCAAUCACCUACCUAGCCCUCCUUCACCCAUCCUUCACGCAUAGUAACUUUGGAACUACUGUUCACGUCCUGAAACAGAUUCCUUCCUUCUUCAACAUGUCUGAGAAGUAGAUAACCCUAAAUACAGUUCACUCAAUCAAAUAGAGUAGACCCACAUUCCAAAUCGAAUUCAGUCACUCUAAAUGAAGCAGAGUACAGAGAAUAUCUACAGUUCCGAGCUACUCAACAACAUUCUUCUCCAAAUAUUGCUCAUUCUAGUAACUCUUUUGCUUAUCUAACCAAGUAUUUACCCAUUGGUUCAUGGAUCCUCGACUCUGGUACUUCUGAUCAUAUCUCUGGUAAUUCCAAUCUUUUCUCUACUCUUGUUUCACCUUUUACACCGUCUAAAGUCACAUUAGCUAAUGGUUCACAAACUCAAGUUAAAGGGAUAGGUAACUUAUAUCUCCCUCAUUUUAUCCCCUUGACUAAUGUUUUAUUCACCACUGAAUGUCCAUACAACCUAAUUUCUAUUAGCAAAUUGACUAAAGAUUUUCACUGUUCAAUCAUUUUUACUGCUGAAUCUGUGGUUGUACAGGACCAAAGUACAAAAAAGAUUAUUGGAGCAAGAUAUGAGUCAUACGGAUUGUACUAUUUUUCCACUUCUAACCCUCCAAGUGCUUUUGUGUCUACCACCUCCGUUGAACUCAUUCAUAGUCGUUGAGGACACCCAAGUCUAAACAAGUUACAAAAACUGGUUCCUGGUCUCUCUUCUUUGCCUUCUUUAGAAUGUGAGUCUUGUCAACUUGGGAAGUAAACUCAAACUUCUUUUCCCAAGUCAGUUAAUAAUAGAGCUACUUCUAUGUUUGAUAUUGUUCAUUCAGAUAUUUGAGGUCCAAGUUGGUUUAGUACAACUCUAGGAUUUUAAUAUUUUGUUACCUUUAUUGAUAACUAUUCUCGUUGCACUUGGCUUUUUAAAAAAUUUUAUGUUGAAAUCCAUAAUCAAUUUGGUGUUCGCAUUAAGAUAUUGCGAAGUGACAAUGCAAAAGAAUAUUUGUCUUCUUCAUUCACUCAUUUCUUUUCUACUCAGAGUAUUACUCAUCAGAUUUCUUGUUCUCAUACCCCACAACAAAAUGGAGUUGCCGAACGAAAAAAUCGGCAUUUGAUUGAAACAACUCGCACCUUACUCCUACAUCACAAUAUUCCAUUGCAUUUUUUGGGAGGAAGCUGUCCUACUGCAUGUUACUUGAUUAACCGAAUGUCUUUCUCUGUUUUGCAGCAUCAAAAUCCUCAUUUUAUUCUAUUGCCUAACUAGAAUUCCACCAAUUGUCUCUGCGUAUUUUCGGAUGUAUAUGUUUUGUUCAUGAUCAUACUCCUGGCAAAGACAAACUCCAGCUCAAAUCGGUUAAAUGUAUCUUUCUCACGGUUAAAUGUAUCUUUCUCAACUAUUCAUGGUUUCAAAAAGAUUACAAAUGCUAUGACCCUACUACUAAUAGAUAUUUUGUAUCCGCAGAUGUCACCUUUUUUUAAACCUCUCCUUACUUUUCUUCUAAUCCAGCACACAAAACCUUUAUUCCUAGAGUUUUGCCUAUACCUCCGACUCUUAUCUCUCAUUUGCCUCAAGUAUGUCCAUCUCUCACUUCUAUGCCAUCUCUUCAGGUCUACACGCGUCGGCCUCACCCAUCCGCUAAUAACAAUGAUAUUUCUUUCCUUGCUGCAGGUACUUUUAAUGACUCAUCUUCCGUUCCAUCAUCACCUAGACCACACGUCGGCCUCACCCAUCUGCUAAUAACAAUGAUAUUUCUCUCCUUGAUGCAGGUACUUAACAAUGAUAUUUCUCCCCUUGAUGCAGGUACUUCUAAUGACUCACCUUCUAUUCCAUCAUCACCGACUUCGGUCAUGCCUUCAACAGUAACAACUACCCCUCUUGCUCUUCGAAAAGGUAUUCGUUGUUCUUGAAAUCCUCAUUCCAUUUAUAAUUUUGUAAAUACCAUCGUUUGUCUCCUUCCUAUUAUACUUUUGUUUUUGCUAUCUCUAUACCCAAGAUAGUUAGAGAAGCUCAUCCCAGUUGGUGUAAUGCUAUGGUUGAGAAAAUGACUGCUCUUCAUAACAAUAAGACUUGAGAACUGGUAUCCUUACCACCUGACAAAUCUACUGUUGAUUGUCGAUGGAUUUACAUAGUUAAGGUGGAAUCUGAUAGCAAAAUUGAUCGCCUUGUAGCUAAAGAUUACACACAGAUUUUUGGACUUGAUUACAGUGAUGCUUUCUUUCCAGUAGCCAAGAUAGCUUCUAUCUGCCUCCUUAUCUCAUUGGUUGCAAUAAAUCAUUGAACUCUUUAUCAACUGGACAUUAAAAAUGCCUUUCUUUUUGGAGAGCUCGCCGAAGAAGUUUACAUGAAGCAACCUCCAGUGUUUGUUGCUCAGGAGGAAUCAGGCUUAGUGUGUCGUCUUUGGCGCUCUUUGUAUGGACUAAAACAGUCUCCAAAAGCAUGGUUUGGACGAUUCAACACUGUAGUUCAACAGUUUGAAAUGUCUCAAAGUAAUUCCGAUCAUUCCGUAUUUUUCCGUCAUAAUGGUGAUAGUUGCAUCUACUUGGUAGUCUAUAUUGAUGAUAUUCUCAUUACAGGAAAUGAUCACGAUGGAAUCUCUCAGCUUAAGCAACAUUUGUUCAGUCAUUUUCAAACUAAAGACCUAGAGAAAUUGAAGUAUUUCUUGGGGAUUGAAGUGGCACAAUCUAAAACAGGUAUUACAAUUUAUCAACGGAAAUAUGCUUUGGAUAUAUUGAAAGAAACAUGCAUAUUAGACUGUAGACAUGUGGACACUCCCAUGGAUCCAAAUGUCAAACUUGUUCCUAAACAGGGGGAGCCACUUAAAAAACCUACUAGAUAUAAAAAAAAUUAAUUGGCAAGCUCAAUUAUCUCACUAUCACGCAACCAGAUAUUUUCUUUGUUGUAAGUAUAGUUAGUCAAUUUCUUUAAACCCCCUACAGUAGUCACUGGAUGCAGUCAUUCGCAUUCUUAGAUAUAUCAAACGAGUUCUAAGACAUAGUCUACUCUAUGAGGACAAGGGUCACUCAGAGAUUGUUGACUACUCUGAUAUAGAUUGGGCAAGUUCUCCUUCAGGUAGACAUCUACUUCAGGACAUUGUAUUACGAUUGGAGGGAAUCUUAUAUCUUGAAAAAGUAAAAAACAUGGUGUGGUUGCAAAAUCAAGCGCAAAAGCAGAAUAUCGAGCUAUGACUUUGGCAACAUGCGAACUCAUUUGGUUGAAACAACUCCUUCAGGAAUCGAAACAUGACGAUACUACCCAAAUGAAGCUGAUAUGUGAUAAUCAAGCUGCUCUCCAUAUUGGAUCAAAUCCCGUCUUUCAUGAGAGGACGAAGCAUAUUGAGGUGGAUUGGCAAUUUAUUAGACAAAAAAUUGAGUCGGGAUGCAUUUCUACUAGUUUUAUCAACUCAAAUGACCAACUAGCGGAUGUUUUCAUAAAAUCUCUUCAGGGUUCACAAAUUGAAUAUAUUUGUAACAAGCUUGGAACAUAUGACAUGUAUGCUCCAGCUUGAGGGGAGUGUUGAGAUACUUUCAAUAAAUAGCCUAUAUUUGUAGUGAUUGUGUACAUAAUUAGGAAUAUGAUUGUGUAAUAUGAUUGAAAUAUGAUUAGGCUAUAAUUAGGGAAUUAAUUUAUUAUUGUAAGUAGUAUAUAUACCCCUACUGUCUUAAAGGAAAUAAUAAAGCAUCUUUCUCUCAAAAUCUCUCUCUUUCUUUUUUUUCAUCACUGUUUCAACAGCCAAAACUGCAAAUGUUUUAAAUAUGCUUACUAAAGCUACCAAUAAGAACAUUAUCACAUAAAUAUUUUCUCUACAAUAACCAGACAGCAGAGAAAAGGAAAAUUCUCGUAGGUCUACAAAAGCCAUGCAAUGGUGGUAGAUACAAGUGCCAAUACCAUUGUGAGAACUUCAAAAGUCAGAUGAAAUAUCCAUGGAAAUCUGACAUGUUAAUAGAAGAAAAAGAACUGCUUUAUAAUUAAUCAUAUAUUAUGAUUCCAUUACAUUAUUUGGUUUCCUAUUUAGGUCAAAUACUUGUAAUAUAAAUAGGAAAUUUGUAUAUUGACAGAACUGCUCAUCAGUACAGUGUGUGCUGUUUAAUGGUACUGUUCAAAGCAUGCGGACCUUUUUCCACAGUUUUUCCAGCUUCCCUUUUUCCUGAGAUCUUCAUUACACGCCUCUGCCCGCCCUUGUUCUUGACCUAGUUUUCACUUUUUCUUUAUCUGAUUCGUAUUUUUGUUUUUCAGUGUUAUUUUCUCUUGUUCCAAUAAUCAUGACUGAGGGAAAAAAAAUUGUGUUUGAAACAAAAACAACUUCGUAAGUGAUAACCCCUCUUUCAAAAUCAGUCCAGUGAAGCUUGUGUUAGUGUAUUUGCCCUAGACCAUUAUCUUGGACCUUUUUGUAUGCCGUUUUAGUUAUUAAUAAAAGAGGUUUUUACUAUCAUUAUUAUUUGUUUGCAUAUUAUAUAAUAAUGAUUAACAUCCCUGAUUACUUAUUAUUAUAUUGAUAAUAAUAAAAUAUAACUAGUAUGGUUAUUGAUUGAUAAUCAUGAGAUAAUUAUGUAUAUGUUAAUAUAAUUCAAUAAUCAUAGAUACUUGUUAGAGAACAAAGUAUUGGAUUGACCCGCACUGAGAUCACUACAUGGGUUAUUGUCAUAAGUGAAUCUCAAACUAGUUAUGUCUUAAUCCUUUGACUUGAGAUUGUCAUAGUUUCCAACAUAAGGACUGCCAUGUUUUGACAUAACCAAACAUUGUCUUUAAUCGGACAAUCAUAAAGGUUAUGAUUGAGCAUAACAGAAAUUAUGUAGAGGAUAUUAAACAAUCAAGAUAGAAUUUGUCCCUCUUUGAGAGAGAUAUCUUCUAGGCCCCUCGAUAAGUGAGACUGAGAAAUGCAUGGCUGUGCUCAAAUGAAUUGAUAGUGUGAUCAAUAUCAUUUGAAUUUAUCAGUCUACUUAGAGAUCGAGAAAUCAUAAGUUUGAACAUUAUAAGUUUGACACUGACCAUCACUUAUGUUCAAACUAGAUAUCGUGUAACAAAGGGAUUAAUACAUGUUCUAUUUAUUAGAUUUUAUCGAACUAUCGAUCUUCAUAUUAAUUGGGUAGUCAUAAUGUCUUGCUAGAGGCCGCUUAUGAUUUAUGGGCCUUGUAGGACUGGGCCUAUUGCCAAUUAAUGUGAGCCUAUUGGGUCACACACAAAAGAACGUUGUUGAUGUGCUAUGUCAUAUUAAUGGGCUAAAAACCUAAAGCGCAUUAAUAUAAUUAAUAAUAAUAAAGUGUUAUUAUUAUUAAUAUUAAUUAUUUAUUAUUAUAAGAUAAUAAUAUUUAAAAAGAUCUGCAGUCUAUCUGUAACUGUUAUAGAUAAAGGACUCUGUCACAUAAGAUAUUUGAGUAUCUGCGAGAUUGUGAUGGUUAUGAACACAACUCUAUCACAUAAGAUAUUUGAGUAUCUGCGAGAUCGUGAUAGUGGGUUAUGAACACAACUCUUUCACGAAAAGAGUUGUGGGAAAACAAAAGACUAAAAACGAAUAAAAACCGCUUCUGCGAAAUGGAAGAAACGUUUUUGAGAAUUCGUUUUGAGUUGCAGAUCGAGAGCACAUAGCUUAUCCAUCAGAGUGAGCUAGCACUCCAGAAAGAUAAGAGACGUUCGUGUGGAUACCAUAGCGGGUGUUCGUUGAAAAAGCAGCACCUUGAGUCCGGGAUUGUAUCUUCUCGUCGAGUCUAACAGGUUAGUAGCUUAUCCUUCCUUUCGAAUUAAACGAAGCAUACGGAUCCCGAGAAGGAAAUCAGAGAUUUUUUAAUUUUUCCGCUGCGUGUUUGGGUUGCAGUAAUCUCUGGAUUUCCUAACAGCUUGAUGGAACUAAUUGUGUUGAUUCAUAUCCUAUCUUUUUGUUCGUUCAAGCUAGGGAGUUUAGGCCUUCAAGGGGAUAUUACUAAGAAUAGUCCAAAACCAAAAACUACUAGUUCUUAGAGGUGUAACCAAACCAAGCUUUUCGUAAGCUAUUCGAGACUCAAUUCAAUAAAAGUUCGAUCGAGUCGGUUCAUUUUUUAAAUUAGCCGAGCUCGAGCAUAACUUUUACACUUGUUAAGUAAACAAACUCUGUUUGAGUUCCGCAAUAUUUGGCUUGUUAAGAGUCGUGAACUUAGCACGUUUCUAAAUUCACGAGCAAGCUCGUUAUAAUUUAAUUAUAUAUGGGCAUAAUUGUAAUUCAAUUUAAAUAGUAUAUUUUCCUCCCAUCUCUCUCUAUUUUCUCUCCAAAUUGGAGAGAUUGUGCCAAAGGAAAAUAACCAUUUAUUUUCCUUCCUCAUCUUAUUUUCCUCCCUUUCCCAAACAAAAAGAAAAUCGUUUUUCCCUUAUAUUUUCCAACCUCAUUUUCCUCCUUAUUUUCUGUCAAUCCAAACAAAGGGUUAGCCUCUAUAUCAUUCUUGUUGCCUCCUGCACUAUGUUUUCCUUUUUGCUUAGUUUAUUUCUUUUUGCCAGAUGAAUGAUCUACUUCCUUAAAAAUUCUUCUUUUGACAAAACAGGUAUUCACUGUCCCCUCCUUUAUUAUCAGUUUUUUUUUAUGGUAAUAAAAUUUUGUAAUGUCUGCUACUUCAAACAGUAAAUUCAACAACUCAUGAAUGAUAUUUGUAAUUGCAAAUAACAAAUCGCAAAUCAGAAAAUUUUAAUCAACAUUGAAGUGUUAACAUUAUUAAUUGAUGUUUUAGUUUUAGUUACUUUAGAUUAAACAUGAUUUUAAUCAUGACAUAUUCACAUUCAUAUGCCACUAAAAGGAUUUAGCGAACUUAUAGAGAGAAGUUUUGAAAUGAGAUAAGAAAGGGGGAGCGGGGUAAAGAGUAGAAACUGGAAAGCAUUAUUACAAAUGAUAAAUACCUGUAAUGCCAAACCAUAGCCACCAUUGGCAUCUUGUUCAAAAUAAAGUAACUGAAAAUUACAAAAGUGCAACAUCAAGCAUUAGUUUUUGCACAAAAGAAUCACAUUUCAAAAGCAGAUCCAAAGAAGGAUUAACACCAACCAACCUUAAAUUUGCUUUGUGCAGAUGAAGUUACUCUCACAACAAUCCCCAACUCUGCUUGCUGUUCAUUUAUUGUUACGCCAAAGAAGUGGGCACUUUGCUUGUCCACCUGCAACAGUACAGAGAAUAAACAAAAAUAGUACAUGGAAAAGAUGAAGGAGCUCAUGGAAAAGAAAAAAUAUAUAUAAUACGGAAAACCUAUAUCAGAAAGAAAAGCUAAGCACCUUUCCACUAACUGAUGUUCCAAUAGGAAGGGGUCUGACUGUGACAGUUCCACUCAGAGCUUCUUCCAGAACAUUAGCGGAAAUUGUAGUUUUGAUAGGGACACCAAGCUUGCUAUACAAUAGAAUAAGGGCCUUAAAAAUAGCUAAAUCAAACUACAAACCCCACAUACUUUCAACUCAAUCUCACCUGAACAAUGCAGCAAAUACUGUAUUGACAGUACCCAGAUUAGAUAAAUCAAUUUCCAUAUCCAUGCUUUCAACAUCAAGAGCCUGAAAAGAUUCAGUAAUAGAUUCCAAAAGAUCAGGAUGUCUUUGCAAAGAAACUACAUAUUAUAUUAAGCAAACAGGGAAAAAGAAAAUAACAGCACCGAUAGUAAGAAGUCGUUGAAUCUCACAUGAAUUGUUGAAUUGAUAACAUCAUGCACAAUUAACAAGUGAUACUACGAAUAGAAAGAAAAGGAAAUGCAGCAUCUCUGCAUCCAGAAUGCUGACAUGAUAUAUACCCAGCACACAAUGAAAACAGAGAAUGGAGCAUCAUGGCAUGCUUUAGCUCUGUCCAUACACAGAUGGGCCCCACCACAUGGAGAAGUUAGUUGGGAUAUGCUAUGAGGGGUAACAAUCACUGUUUUUAUCAUUUCCGGUACACCUGUUGCCCUUAAACUUAGUAAUAACUCUUCCUCACCUAGAAAAUACAUCCUACAAAUUGCAGGGCAAAAGCUAUGUUAUCAAGCAUAUUGUAAAGUAUAAACCUAUACUUAGCUCUUUGGUUCAAUCACAGCAAAACCCUCCAAUAGAACCUUUUUUUUUCACCUUGUCAGCAUGAGUAAUUCAUUAAAACCAAUCACAAGCUUAUUACAGCCUCCCUGCCCAUAAUGAUAGUUAAGCUACAGGCAAAACCCAUUGAUACAUCCAAAACGUCAAAUUCCAAAACUUAAGCUUUAGCCCACCAUUUUAGCAUCUAUGUGACAGAAACAGAGAAGAAGAAGAGGAAGCAGGGAGCUGAGAACAUUAUCCUGAUUUCUCCCUGCUAAGUUCUAACUUCCAUGGGGGAGUUUCAGUUCACAUUGAACUAAGGAAGAAGCACCUAAAUCCCCACAUUGUGCAGUGUGCCAGUGUCCUUUUUAUGACACAGCAUCAACCAUCACACUGAAGAUGUCAUAAACAGGAAAAAGUAAAGAAGCUGAAGGAAAAAACACCUCAAAUCCUGCACUAUCAUACUGCCUUCUCUUUUCUGGGUCAGAUAAGAUGCUGUAGGAAUAUGCAACCUCUUUAAAAAGUUCAGAAGCUUCAGGGUUACUGGCAUUCUUGUCUGGAUGAUACCUGCCCAUGAUUUAUAUCGACAACAAGAUUAAAUGUGUGCAUACAAAGCAAUGGAAGUGGCAUUGACAUAGAAAAAAUAACCAUCUUACUGAAAAUUAAAGGAUGCAAUACAAUGAAUACUUAACAUAUUGUCAAAAGGAUAUAUACCAAUUUAACAUAAACACUUCAUAUCCAUUGAAAAAGGUACUACAACAAUAAUAUGUAACCAUCACCCUGGAUAGUGGAUAUAGCAUGCAAAACUCAGAUGAAGCCAUCAACAAAAUUGAUGAUAUGGAGUUAAUUAAAGAUCAUAACAUUACGUGUCCACAGAUAUAAACCUCAGAUUUAAAAGUGGAAGAGAAUUACCAAUGGCCUCCAAUUCAACAGAAGUUCAGUUCAUAAGGCCAAACUAUAUACCAUAAAAAUAACUUUACACCCACUAUUUGAUAGAAAUUCAGUAAUUGAAGGGCAUUGGAAGAGGAAGAGGAAUGGGCCUCAGUUACUUUGUUCGUUUUGGUUGAACAAAAAGUUCAUGUGAAGAUAUUGCUUUGAGAGGGCUAUCCUUCCUUCCAGAGGCUCCUAAACUUUCCAGCCAUGCACAUUUCAAUGGGACAAGAAUUAUUUUUUUAUACUUUUUCAACUUUUCCCUCCGGAAUAUAUGUUUAUUUUUCUUUCCUAUCUACAUACAGAUAGAAUGCAGCAGAUUCCCUCUCUGAUAUCUUCAUUAAAUGCUUUCCCUCCUCUCUAUUGUUUCUUCUUUCUGCCAAGGCAUUAAAGAUUUCAUAAAACUCGCUGACUUCAAAAGGUUAUGAGUGCCACCUACUGCCCCAUUUUGGAUGAUCAAAUCAACUUAUACGAAAAAAGAUGGAACUGAAUUAGUGUGAAACAGUCAUUAAUAACAUGAACCGAGUCAUAUCUGUACAACAUUUGAGUCAUGGACAUGAUUAAAUUACAUUGAUAUCCAGUUGAGCACAUAUAUAUAAUUUCCCAACUGAGCAUGUUUGAAGUAUUCAGCCAUCUUUCUAAUUUGGGUGAAGUAUCUUCCUUAUUCACACUAAAACCUCGUUGAUCUGUGCUUGAGCUAUCAACUAAACUUAAUUUCACAAAAAACUGCAUUCCUAAUCUUACAUCGGUACCUAUUAGCUCAAAAAUCACUCACACUAUACAAUGUCGUCGUAGUGCACACGAAAUUCCAAAAAAUUCAUAGAAAUGAAGGAAACAGAGAACAUGUAAUUAAAUAGAACUUACUUGAGAGCUAGUUUCCUGUAAGCAGUUUUAAUCUCCUGAUCAGUAGAAUCUCUCGAUACGGACAAUACCUCAUACGGGUCUCGUCGAAUAACUGGAGCUGAUGUACUCUCGGCCUUCUUCGAACCCAUCCCCACCUCCUUCCAAAGCCGCCUCCCUCUCUCUCUCUCUCUCUCUCUCUAUGUUGCUUCACCCCAAUCAGCAAAACUACAAUAUGCCUUCAAUUCAAUUUGUAGCUAUCGUGCAACCGAAUCCUGCAAUCUACCGUCGAAAUAUGUAAAACAAAGCCAAUAAAAAAAAUAAUAUAAUCGCAUAAGAAUUUCACACAAUUCAAAGCACUUUUUCGGAUCCCUCUUCCUCUACUCGGGAAGACAAAAAGGCGAACUGAAACAUCAGUGAUAACGAAUUGAAAAUUGGAAAGAUCUGCUAAUUCUACAUUACAUUACAAAUUUAGAAGAAAGGAAUUGAAGAAGGUAGCUAGGGUUUUUGAAACUUACAAUUAUGUGGUGAUAAUAGAAUUGAAAGAGAGAUGCAUGACGUACGGAGGUUUUUGGUCUGGUCCGCUUCUUUUCUUCGGCUCUUCUUCUCACCUCUUUUGCUUUUUUUGAGCCAACUGAUUCCAACUAUAUAAUCAAGCUGAAUUUUUUUUUAUAUAUAAUUUGACAUUUGUUAUUUAAUAUUUUAAAAUAAGCUUUUAUUUUUUCCCGCUUUGUUAAAGAGAACGAAAAGAUACUAAGAUGGAAAUAAUACCUUGUUACCUUCUAUCAUUGAAUCUUAAUACACUUUUAAUCAUGGAUGCAAAAAAUAAGCGAGUAGAGUGUAAGUUACAUUUAAAAAAAUAUAUCAUAUUUUAAAUAAUUUUUUAAUUUUAUAAAAUAAAUUAAACAACAAUCCCCUCAAAUUUUAACCCAACUCAAACUCAAUUAAUAUUACAAAUAUUCGAACUCCUUUAAUUUCAAUUAAAAUUUUAUUCUGAAAGGUCCAAUUCAUUUCAAACUUACAUUAUUAGUUUGAUUCUAUUUCUUUUUGAAAUAAUGAUUGAACAUGCUUCAAACCUAUCAAAGUAACUAUGCUUCAUAUAUAUUCUUUGGAAAAUAAAAAAACUUAUUUACUCUCAAUUUAUCAUAAAUUUAAAAAUAUAAAUAAUAGCGUCUCAUCUAAUUUUUAUAUAAUAUAAUUAUAUAAAUAUCAAAGUAGAUAUAAGUAUUUAUUUCUUAAAUAUGUGGUAAACUAAAUUUAAACAAAAAUUAUUCAUAUUUAUGAAAUGUAAUAUACUGAAUGAUAUAUACAUAAUUUCUCACAAUUUGUAAGUGAAGAGUAUGAAAUUCUCAUCCAAAGCAAAAAUAAAGAGAUCGAAUAUGGCACAAAUUUGGCUUUAAGCUAAUAUUUACUUUUUUCGCCACAAAACUUAUCGACCUACAUCUUUUGCAUAUUCCACGUAUGGAUCUUCAAUGACAAGAAUUUUGAGCUCUCUUGUGUAGUCUCUUAAUCAAUUCUCUAUCUCGUAACUGUUUGAAGUGAAAGUCAAUUCACUGAUAUCACUCUCAUCAAUGGAAGCAAUAUCAAUUUCCUGUUGCAAACGAGGAGGAGAAAACAAUAAGGGUUUUGGAGGCACUUCAAUGGCAUCUACAUCCCCUGUUAGCAUUUCUAACGCUCUUGUCAUUGACGGACGUUCUUUAGGGUUUAUUUGAAUGCACCAUAGACCUACCAUAACCAUCUUUCUUACUGUUUUAGCAUCCUCGUAUUCUGUCAUAGAUACAUAAGACUCCAAAUUUUUUGGCUCAACCAGCUUAUAUAUGCAACUUGGGAAAUAUGCUUCACUUGAAGUGGUUGUGGCCGGUUCGAUACGAUUCUUCCCUUCGAACAUCUCUAGUAACAACAUCCCAAAGCUAUAAACAUCGGACUUAUGAGAAACAUUCCCAAAAUUUCUCAUGAAAAUCUCCGGAGCAAUGUAGCCAAUUGUUCCCUUUGCGCUUGUCAUGAACACUGCACUUUGACUUCGAGAGUAUAUUUUUGCCAACCCAAAGUCUGAAAUUUUGGGAUUGAAAUUCUGAUCUAGCAACACAUUCUGAGGCUUUAUGUCGAGAUGAAGUAUUCGUGAUUCACAACCAUUGUGCAAAUACUCUAUCCCAUGAGCAAUUCCUAUGGCAAUUUCAAGCAUCCUCGGCAAUCCUAACGAAAGACAGAACUCUUCAUCGGACAACAAGUCUGCUAAUGAUCCAUUAGGCAUGUACUCGUAGAUGAGAGCUUGUCUUGAACCAUUACAGCUGAAACCCAGUAAGCUUAUAACAUUAACAUGGUGUAUUCUACCAAUGGAGGCAACUUCAUUGACAAAAUCAUGGCCUAUGUUGUUAGAUUUCUCCAGCAAUUUCACCGCAACAGGUCGACCGUCCGACAAUUUUCCCUUGAAGACAUUGCCACAUCCUCCUUCACCUAAUUUUUCUUUGAAACCUUUGGUCAUUUUCUUGAUGUCGUUGUAGGUGUAGUUGGUUAGUAAACCUGAUCGAUAUGUUUUAAUAAACCGCUUAGCAUUUAUUCCUUCUUCUGUACUUUGACUCUUUGUGUGUAUCAUGGUAAGAAAAAUUCGUUUUCUCCAGGCUAGAAUAAUAACAACAAUGGCUGCAAAUCCUGCUGCAAUACCUGCAAAUAUGCCACAAAGCUUGGUGAUCGAGAAGCUUCGGGGCAUAUAUAUGGAGAAGAAGAUGAACAACCAACCAAAAAAUAAAAAAUAAAAAAAAAAUAUCCUAGUACACUUCACGGAAAAUUUAGUACUACCAACCAUUUAAAUAAAGAUACGUACGUUAAUAAAAUAAUUAAUAAAUAGAUACGCUUUUUUAUUUUAUUAUUUAAUAAUAACAUAAUAUGUGCAAUACCUAUAAUGAUCUUCCACUUUAUCCAUUUCUUCUGGCAUUUCUUCAAAAUUUUCUUUCUGCAAGGUCACAAACAGACAAUAAAAUUAACUUGGUGGUUUAAGGUAGUAACUCAUUGUGUCGGAUUCAAAUUGACCCGACAACUUGGUUCGAUUUGGGAAAUUGAAGAAAAUGAUUUUCUGGGACCAGGAAGAAUAGGGAAAUUAAAGAAGCAGCAUUUAAUUAGAUUUAUUAUGAAGACAUGCAGAGCCACAAAUGCCAAAAAAAUAUCUAACAUGGUUAGGAAGAUGUCGGUAUCCCAUAUUUUAAUUGUUUGACUUAGUUUCAAUUUGACAAAUCAGAUUCGACAAACUAAACUGUUGCCCGCCCUUAUGACGCUGCUGGACGUUGCUAGUCUGACAGACAGUUUCCUUCGUUAUAAUAUCCCAUAAAGAAUUCUUUUAAGUAGAGAAUGAGAAUGGAAAUUUAAAUCUAUAUAUAUUUUUAAUCAUUAAAUUAAAUUAUAUUUUAUAUGUAUAUAUAUAUAUAUAUAUACAUUUAAAAUUUUACAUUUCCGCCAUUUCAAAAAAAAAAUUUACAUUUCCGAUCAAUAAGGUUCAAUCGUAUUAAAAUAAUUUUAUUGUAAUAUUUUAUUUUAUCUAUUUUAAAAAUUAAUUUUUUAAAAGAGAUUGUACGGUGAGUAUUCACGUUAGCGCUAAUUAACAAAUAUAAUGAAAAAAAAUCGCUUAGAUUAUUUGUGGAAUUCCAAAUGAAGCAAAAUAAUAACUUACCCGUGGAAGCAAACAAUUCUCCUUAAAUUACCAUCAAAUCCACACCGUCCACCUGUGGCAUUGCAGCUAUCGCAUUCCUCAAAAUUUGGCCAAGUCAAAGGAAACCCAUCAGCCAACAAAUCAACCAGCUCAAUCCUAUGCUUCCUAUUCCUAUUGAUCAAGAACCCAUAGCUAGCAAUUGACACAGGAACCCUGAUCAAACUGCAACCCUUCAGUUUUAACGGAGGGCUGAGUCUUGGUGGAUCAAACUGACUCCCACUCUGCCAUAGAUAAAGCGCAUCGCCGCCGCUACAAGUAACGUUACUCACCACUUUUUCAAGAAACUCCUGUGGAAGUUUCAGCUGGCUAGGACACUGAAACAAAGAAAUAUUAAUGGCCCAAUGAGGGAGGCUAAGAGGAGGAAUGUAAGCACUAGGCAUUAUUGUGAGAUUACGUAAAGAAGUGCAAGAGCCAGCCUUCAAGUCUCUGAUAAGUUGGAUAUCAAUGACAGUGAUGAGUCUCUCAGAUAGAAAAAGGUUUUUCACUUGGUAAAGCCUGCCAGAAAGAACGAUGCCGGAGAGAGAUGAGGUUUCGUCGCAGGUGAUCUGAUAGCCAGGGAGGCCACAGUCUUGAGGAGCUAAACCGAAGGUGAGAGCAGAGGAGAAAGGGAAGGGGAAAGUGAUGCCACCACACUUGAAAAGAGAGCAAAACUCGUCGUCUGAAGAGGCAGCGGAGGUGGUGUUAUGAGAGUGAGUGAAGAUUGGGAUAAUGAGCAGUGAUAUUACUGUGAUCUGAAGGAGAACAGCAGAAGGCAGAGCUCUGAACACCAUAGCUAAGUAAUGUGGAGUAUGGAGGUUGAUUGAGUUUCAUCGAGAACGUAUAGCAUUUGUUUCUGCAGGGGGGCACGGUUGGCUUGCAAGUUUGACUAACUGACUACAUGAUUCAUGUGAUGGACCAUGGCAUGAAAAUACAGGCUAUUAAAUAUAUUAACUAGGCCACAGUGGUUCGGACACUAACCCUGCAUUUGAUAUUUCGAAAUCAAGGUUUAAUAGAAUAAAAUAAUAAUUAAUUAUAUUAUGUAGUUAAUUUUAUACUUUAAUUAAUAUAACAAUUAUUUUUUAAAAUAGUGAUCAAAAAUUGAAGAGUAAAAUUUAAAAUCACUCAAAUUUACUUAAAUAUAUUUAUUAUCAAAUUAAAUUAUAAGUGCAAUUAAUAUAAAAAUUAUAUUUAAUCUAACUUAAUUUAAUAACUGAAGCAUAUAAUUCAUUUAGAUUAAUAAAUUUAAAUUUAAAUCUUAUUUUUUUAUUGUUAUUUCAUAAUUCAUUAAUUAUCAUUGAUAAUAAUUAUCGUCACUUGAUUAUUAUCACUAUCAAUUAACUAGUAUCAUUAUUGUUAUUGUUGGACAAACAAUUGUUAAUAUCCAACAACUAACUAUAAUUGUUGGACAAACAAUUGUUAAUAUCCAACAAUUGUUAUUUCAUAAUUCAUUAAUUUUUUUUUGUAUUUUUUAAAAAUUUAACCAACAUAUUUUAUUUGAUAAUAUUAUAAUUGUCUCAAUAAUUUGAUCUGAAGAGUUUAUUUCUAACUAUAAUUAAAUAAAUAAAAAAAAACUAAUCAAUGGUGAUAUAAUGUCUUGUUGAAAUUAGAGCUUGACAAUAACAAAACGCAAGUAGAGACAUAUUACUGAUUCGCAAGUUUCUAUCUCCAAUAGGACCACCACUGAUAGCUGAAUCACUACUCUUACAACAUUCGGACUGACGUCAAUUUCAGGAUGUUACUAGUGUCUGAUAGUGGUCCUGUUGUUGGGCUACAAUACUCACACCACCGUUCAAGUAAAGAAUAUCCGAUUUUUCGAUUAAUAGAAUGUGUUAGAACUCAAAAUUUAUUAGAUAUUUUUUAUAAGAUAUUUUUUUAAAGUAAAAUUAUCGAUUGUAUUAAUAAAAUUCUAUCAAAUAAAGAGAAAUAUUAUUUUAAAUAAAGAGACGAUCAUACUUAAUAGAUUCUUUAGCCAAAAUAUGGGUGGUUAGAGUAGUAUGACGACGAAUCAUAUCAAUUUUAGAGUCUAAUAAAGAUUUAUAAUCAUUCAAAAUCAAAUCAAGUUCAGAAAUAUUUAAAUGUGGAGACUGAAGAGUUUGAAUCAGUUCAUAAGAAUGCAGCAAUUAAAAUGUAAAAUUUUAUCGCAAAGAGCAAACAGUGACGGAGAGCUAAACUUUCAACAAUUAUCGGCGUACUAUUACCUUCCGAAAAACCAGAAAUAUCACAUUGAAAUAUAUCUUCAGAAUUUUUCACAACAAAACCGUAGCCAAUAAAAUCUUGAUUUUGAAAUAAAACCCCAUCAACUUGACAAAGCUAACUGAAAUUGUCAAACUUGAAGAUGACGCACGAAUUUAGAGAGGAAUGGCUUCAGGAUCAUGAGCAGGGUUGGAGGAAUAAAACAAGUUCAUGUCCUGAUAUAAAGUAGCAAUGAUAUUUCCAUACAAAGCACCAGCACGUUGAGCAGCUUUCCA
rnacentral:lncRNA from 1 species